UACGAGUAAUGUCUUUGUGACAAGAACUUUCUUUGUCUUUUAUUCCCAUGUUUGAACUAGUAUAGGUCGGGGUUACACAUUAUGGUGCACAUCACUUUAUUUAUCAUCGUUACAUUGAACGCUCAUUGACUAAACAACGAUGAUCCAUCCAUCUUGUAUUGUAGGUCUUCAUUUCAUUGGCCACCGAUGCUUGUAAGACUAGUCUCAUAUGGUUGUUGUUGUGGAUAUGGUUGUUGAGGUUGGUGUGGUUGCUGGGGUUGCUGGGAAAUUGUUUGUUCUGGUUGCUGGGAUAAUUGUUGUUGGGGCUGUAGAAAUGGUUGUUGUGGUUGUUGGGGUAAUGGUUGUUGUGGUUGCAGGAUGGAUGGUUGUUGGGGUUGCUGGGGUUGGGGCUGGGGAAAUGAUUGUUGUGAUUGUUGGGGUUGCUGGGGAAAUGGUUGUUGCGGUCCUAGGAGGAAUGAUUAUUGUGGUUGUUGGGGGAAUGGUUGUUGNNNNNNNNNNNNNNNNNNNNNNNNNNNNNNNNNNNNNNNNNNNNNNNNNNNNNNNNNNNNNNNNNNNNNNNNNNNNNNNNNNNNNNNNNNNNNNNNNNNNNNNNNNNNNNNNNNNNNNNNNNNNNNNNNNNNNNNNNNNNNNNNNNNNNNNNNNNNNNNNNNNNNNNNNNNNNNNNNNNNNNNNNNNNNNNNNNNNNNNNNNNNNNNNNNNNNNNNNNNNNNNNNNNNNNNNNNNNNNNNNNNNNNNNNNNNNNNNNNNNNNNNNNNNNNNNNNNNNNNNNNNNNNNNNNNNNNNNNNNNNNNNNNNNNNNNNNNNNNNNNNNNNNNNNNNNNNNNNNNNNNNNNNNNNNNNNNNNNNNNNNNNNNNNNNNNNNNNNNNNNNNNNNNNNNNNNNNNNNNNNNNNNNNNNNNNNNNNNNNNNNNNNNNNNNNNNNNNNNNNNNNNNNNNNNNNUGCAGGGGGAAUGGUUGUUGGGGAAUUAUUUGUUCUGGUUGCUGGGGGAAUGGUAGUUGGGGCCGGGGAAAUGGUUGUUGGGGUUGCUGGGGGAAUGGCUGUUGUGGUUGCAGAGGGAAUGAUUGUUGGGUCUGGGGAAAUGGUUGUUGUGAUUGCUGGGAAAAUUGUUGUUGGGGUGUGGGAAAUGGUUGUUGCGAUGGAUAUGGUUGCUGUGAUGGAUAUGGUUGUUGUGGAUAUGGCUGUUGUAGAAAUGGUUGUUGUUGAUAGGAAAAUGAUUGUUGAGGUGAUUGUAAUUCUUUGUUGCUAGGGUUUAGCUGCCUAGCGGCAGUGGCGAUGUUCAUCGCCAUGGCAAGGAGGACAAAGAUGAGGAAGGUCUUCAUGUUGGAUUUGUGGUUACUACUGCUUGCUUGCUUUUGAUGCUUGUGGUCUAGGUGUGUGAAGUUUGGAUGAUGAAAUGUGGUCUUGGUGGUGCAUGUGUAUUUAUAGUUUUCAUGGCAUGGCUUGCUUUCUUCUUCCCACUCGCUUUUUGAAAAAGUGCACCAAUGCUUAUCCAACUAAUCAUUUGAUUUGUUGUGUUUGGUGCAACUACUUACUAGCAAGAUUUUGGAUUUUCAUGAUAGUUGCUUUUUGUUGAAAUCAUCUGGUUGUAAGGAAUGUUGGAUAAUGACCAAUGACUCAUCUUCUUCACUUUACACUGCAAACAUUGAUCUAAAUUAUAUCCUUUUUUGAAAUUUAGUUUGUGAAGCUCUACAUGUUGUUAGGCUUAUCUAUAUUGGCAUAGCUUGAGUGGAAUUAAGUUUGUAAGCUUGUGAGCGUCAUUAUGAUGGAUCACACUAUUAAUGUGAUGAUUGUACUACAAAUUAUCUUUCCAAAACUAAUUUUAUGUUUUUUCCCAAUAUGAUUCUAAGACGGAUAACCAGACAUGACUCAUCAAAUAACAAGAUAAACCGAGUAGCAAAUUGGGGUUAUAAGUUAUAACAUGGACUUUUCUCUAAGAUACACUAUCUUGUCUUGCAUGCUCUGUGAAUUUGAAAAGCAUCUACUAAUUUAUAUGCAAUUGAAACAAAAGUAGACCAGAAAGAUAAGCAAUGAAAUGAGAAUACUAUUAUGUGAAGCUCUACAUGUUUGGCAAGCAAUAAGAUACUGGAUACAUCUAUAUCUUCAAUCCUGACAAUUUUUCUCAUCCCUAUCAACUCUUUAUUGGCUGCCUUUACUGUAGUCAUCCCUUAAAUAAAAAUCACUUAAAGAUAAGUUUGGGAGCUAGUACCAGCAUCUAUCAUGUACAAGAUAAAAAACUAAGGCACAUAUAGUAGUCUAUUGACUAUAUUUAAUUUCAUGUGAUGUGAAAGCAUGUGGAGUAUAAGUUGGUUAAAUAUAAAAUUGUCCUUCAUACCAGUAGGGAAAGAAUAUGCAGUAUAAAGAUUAGAGCAUUAUUAAUAUGCUAUUAAAUGCUACAGGAUAAUCGAUAGUUCAAGUUAAGAACAACAAUAGCAUUCCAACUUUUGUUUUGUGCAAGUUAAGAACAUGCUAACAAAGUAACCUAAGCAAAUAAGUGCAACACCUUCACCUAUAAGGAAAUUUUGAAACUACACAAAAUGACCUAUUGUAAAGAAGGAAAAAAAUCUAAAGGUGAAUGAAAAGCAUGUUAAGUACAUUCAGGAUUCGGUUAUGCCUUCAUGGAUAACCUUUUAGAUGGUGACUUGUCAACCUUGAUGUGUGUCGGCAUGGAACGAGGACAAGAAGACAUCGUUACGUCGUACUUUGGGAAUUUCAUCAAACUGGUUGUGUGCGGGAACAAAUAUUUGUCGCCUCCCUGCUCAAAUCUCUCUUCAUGUCACUAAAUCCGACACUCCACCUACCAAAAUCAGCUGCAAGCCAGGGACAAUCAACAGGUUUCUCCGCCCGUAGCAUCUAUCACCAAAAGAAGUUCAGACUAUAGUCUUGUAGUUUAAAAUUUUGUAAUAACAAGCACUACUAGGUUGCUCUUGUUUGUACGUCUUCAUUAUGUACAACCCAUGGAACUUAAAAUGCAUGGGUCAUUCUUCGGUAUAUACAACCAAUGCAACCAAACAUGCAUUGGGCUUUUCUUUGUACAUCUUCAGGUUCUACAACCAAUGCAACAAAAAAUCCAUUGGGCAGUCUUCCAUUCUAGUCGGGCACCAAUAGUUAAACGAGGAGCUAAACAGUGUUGGAGUCUAAAACUACAUACAAUCAUGAAGCAGAGAGAUGCGACUUGGAAGUUGUGCUCCUGUGAGCUCGUAUUUUUGAAGAAAAAAGUAAUAUUUGUAUUUUGAAGUGGGAAAAAGUCCUAAAAAGGGAUGUUUUGCGGGUUAUAACUUACUAUUUUUGAGUCCUGGGCUGCAGGAAGGUCGUAAAAAAUCAAUGUGUUUUCCCAUUCAUGCAUGUUUCUUGGGUUAUAGGUCACGCUUUUGGUGUCCUAGGGAGAUCACUUCCCCAGUUGGGAACAUUAGGUGAUGAUUUUUAGCAAAACUCAUUGUUUUAGCCUAACUAGUUUCGAGGAUUGGUGGACAAGAUUAUCAUGGAACAAAGUGACAACCUUCCUUUUCUUCAUGCCUAAUAUAAACUUAGCAGUCAACUAAAAGUAACUAGCGAUAUCACAGAAUGUUUUUUUGUCAAAAGUAGAUACCACUUCAGGAUUCAACUCGGUUAGUUCAAUCAUAGACAUGUUAAGAGCAGGAUUUACAACUAACUGCAUAGGGAACAUCUCCUUUUAUCGCCCACUAUCUGUCUAUGCACUUUGGUUUUCCCGUAGCAGCACACAAAGCACUUUGUUAGUACCAAUAAUGUGCUCCAACUCUACACAUUAAUCAUCUUGAAUUCUUCUACUGAUGUCGAACAAUGUUAUAUCUUGAAUUCUUCUAACGAGUUCAGAUUAUACUACAUGGGCAAUUUAUCUGGUCCCUGAGAUGCAAGGUCGAUGAACAAUCGCUUCGUCUGAUGAUGAGGGAUUGUUUUUGCCUAAGAAACCAAUACAUGUAACUUCGACGCCAGAUUAAUAAUUGGUAAAACCCAAAUAAAUUAGAUCACGAGCUAAACCAUUUAAUUUUGUAUGCAUUUAAACUUUUGAUACAUAUGAGCUUGUUAAGAUGUUCGCAUAAACACCAUGGUGAUUUGAAGCAAGACAAAGUAAACUUGAACCGCUUGAGCCACUGACUUAAUAAGAACCUCCUUUCCCGUGGCAGAGAUCGUUUUUAAUACAUCCACUCACUUUGGUUCUCUUAUGAAAUCUAGAUUCCUUCGCUAAGGCUAUUGCUCCAGUAUUGUCACAAAAGAUUUUUGUUGGACCCGAUGCACUAGGUAUGACACCUAGAUCGGAUAUGAACUCCUUCAUCCCGACUCCUUCAUUUGCUACUUCCGAAGCAGCUAUGUACUCCUCUUCACAUGUAGAUCCCUCCACGACGCUUUGCUUGAAACUGCACCAACUGACAGCUCCACCAUUCAAUAUAAAUACGUAUCCGGUUUGUGACUUAGAGUCAUCCAGAUCAGUGUCAAAGCUUGCAUCAACGUAACCAUUUACAACGAGCUCUUUGUCACCUCCAUAAAUGAGAAACAUAUCCUUAGUCCUUUUCAGGUAUUUCAAGAUGUUCUUGACCGCUAUCCUAUGAUCCACUCCUGGAUUACUUUGGUACCUCCCUGCUAAACUGAUAGCAAGGCACACAUCUGGUCUGGUACAUAGCAUUGCAUACAUGAUAGAACCUAUUGCUGAAGCAUAGGGAAUGACUUUCAUUUUCUCUCUAUCUUCUGCAUUGGUCGGGCAUUGAGUCUAACUCAACUUCACACCUUGUAACACAGGCAAGAACCCUUUCUUUCCUUGAUCCAUUUUGAACUUCUUCAAAACUUUAUCAAGGUAUGUGCUUUGUGAAUGUCUAAUUAACCGUCUUGACCUAUCUUUAUAGAUCUUGAUGCCCAAUAUAUAAGCAGCUUCACCGAGGUCUUUCAUUGAAAAAUUCUUAUUCAAGUAUCCUUUUAUGCUAUCCAGAAAUUUCGUAUCAUUUUCGAUCAACAAUAUGUCAUCCACAUAUAAUAUCAGAAAUGCUACAAAGCUCCCACUCACUUUAUAAAGGCUUCUCCAAAAGUCUGUAUAAAACCAUAUGAUUUGAUCACACUAUCAAAAUGUAUAUUCCAACUCUGAGAGGCUUGCACCAAUCCAUAAAUGGAUCACUGGGCUUGCACACUUUGUUAACACCUUUUGGAUCGACAAAACCUUUUGGUUGCAUCAUAUACAACUCUUCUUUAAGAUAUCCAUUAAGAAAUGCAGUUUUGACAUCCAUUUGCCAAAUUUCAUAAUCAUAAAAUGCGGCAAUUGCUAACAUGAUUUGGACAGACUUAAGCAUCGCUACGGGUGAGAAGGUCUCAUCAUAAUCAACUCCUUGAACUUGUCGAAAACCUUUCGCAAAAAGUCGAGAUUUGUAGACAGUAACAUUACCAUCAUCGUCAGUCUUCUUCUUGAAGAUCCAUUUAUUCUCUAUGGCUUGCCGAUCAUCGGGAAAGUCAACCAAAGUCCACACUUUGUUCUCAUACAUGGAUCCCAUCUCAGAUUUCAUGGCCUCAAGCCAUUUCGAGGAAUCUGGGCUCAUCAUUGCUUCCUCAUAGUUUGUAGGUUCAUCAUGGUUGAGUAACAUGACCUCCAGAACAGGAUUACCAUACCACUCUUGUUGGGAAUAUGACUACCAGGUAUGACCCGCCCAGGAGGGGCCGGGUCAAUCCUAAUGGCGGGUUACUAAAAGAAGCUCAGUGAAUAUACAAGGCGAUAGUUUAUUAUAAGACUUGUAGUAGGACCAAGCCCAAAGGCGGGUUAAGGCCCAUAAUUGUAAACCGCCAUGUAUAAGAAAGAAUUGUAAAGAAAGGCAUGUAAGAGAAGUCACCGAGCCGGGCACGUUAUAUGAGCCGGCUGGGACUCUGUAGGCCGCCAGGCGUCAACCCGUGUAUAUAAGGGGACGACCCGGUGGCGGCUUAGGGCAAGUAACAUCAAAUCGAGAGCCAUGCAUAGCGUAUUUGCUCCCUGGUCAUCGAAACCUAGCAAUACCACAUCAACUGGACUAGGCUUUACCUUCACCGUAGGGGGCCGAACCAGUAUAAACCUUUCGUGUCCUUUGUCCCGAUUAACCCCUUUAAGCUUCCUAGUUGCGAUGGCUCCACGACUAAGUCCUUUCAGUAGGACAUCUGCCGUGACAAUUCCACGACAGUUGGCGCCCACCGUGGGGCCAUCGCACGAUGGAUUUGAGUUCUUGAAGGGCAGCUUCCAAGGGCUCAAGGGAUACGCUGUGGGCCGGAUAACCAAAAGUUGUCACAGCAAGCUCUACAUCGACGACGCAGGCUGGGGCCCCGAGGCUGGCUCAAUCGAGUACGGGUACCGGGUCCCCUUCGGCGGAAUCCACGUCUUCAUCGGCCGGAUCGGCGAGCCGGGCCCUGAGUCGGACAUCUGCACCGACCUCAUCGAGAUGGCUCAGCGAGUGAGACCUGCCCGGGCUCAACCUGCCGUGAGGCGUGCCUUCGUGGGUUGCAUCCAUGGAGGGGAAUUUUCUGAAGGAUCGAUGGACGGUGGUGAGACAGUCGUUUGCUCUAGCAGUGAGUCGUCCAUAGGCGAGACAGAUUCUUUGUAUCAGCUACAAGAUGGCGGGCUUGGGGGCUGUUCCGAUGGCAGUAGUAUUCCGGACCCCUCUGAGCCGCCGAAUCGAGCCGGAGUCUUCAUGGCUGGCACUCAACCUGGUUAGAAUUCUAUGGCUGCGGCAGCAAUAACCACUGGGUCAGCAGGGGCCGGGUCAGGAGACCCCGCGCGCCCACCGGCUCAGGUACUAAUGGACCUCAUGGAUAGGAUGACGGCCCUGUUGACUGCUGUGGUUGAGCCGGCAGAUAAGGCUCAGCAUGACGCAGAGGUAGCACAGCUACACAGAGAGGUAGCACAGGCCAAGGAAAAUUUAGUGGCGGAAGAUGUCAGGAUGGCCGCGGAACGGGCGGCUCUGGAUGCACGGGCUCGGCAGCUUCAAGCGAAGACUUUCUGGCUCUCGGUGGAUCUGAACGCAUCAAACGAGGUCACGAGGAGAAGGCACCAGAAGGCUCAAUCAUGUCUGCCUCUGACUUACGAUCCUAGGAACCUUUUUCACACACCCGGGACUGGUCCCAGUAACCCGCUGAAGGCAAACCGGAUCACAACACCCGGGACCGGGACGCCGGUUCAACCGCGGGCCAUGGAACCACCGCGUGUGAAUACUGCUCUGCCUCACUACACAGCGAUACCACCGGGUCACUUCUCUAACCCCUUGGAGAACCUUAUUGCUGCGUCGGCUCAUCUGGCGGCUCUCCCGAUGGAAGGUGACUCUUCGACGGCGAUCGAGACACGACGGGUCAGAGAACUUCUUCAGACGGCUCUGGCACAGCAGGAUGCAUAUUCUUAUAGUUGAGAUAGAAUCCAUUCAACCCCUCGCCCAAGCCGGAGCCCAAGCUAUAGCAGGCAUAUGGACUCGGCGGCCAUGUCAAGCAACACCCAGCGCCGUAACCAUCCACGUGGGCGUGACCCGGCCCCGGGCGGAGCUUGUAACUUGGUAGACCAGGAGAGGAUCCGUCAAGAGGCUGAACGGGUGGUUCAACAGGCGGCUGAGCAAGCGGCUCACCAAGCUUUUCCAAUUUAUACAGUGACCUCUGUUGAAGCAGGGGUGGCCACAAGGACAGGAGGAGUCCCUUGUCUUGUGCAGUCUCUGCGUAAUGAGCGUUUACCAAAGGACUUUAAGGGGCCUCGUAAGGUGCCCAAUUACACAGCCGACCUGCAGCCCGGAGCAUGGAUUGAAAGUUACGAGAUGGCCAUGGAGUUAUUAUAAGUCAGUGACGCAGCAAUGGCCAAAUACUUCACCAUGAUGUUGGAUGGAACAGCUCGUACUUGGUUAAAGGGGUUACCGCCCAACUCCAUCGGCUCAUGGGCGGAGUUGAAGGCACGGUUCAUUCAGAACUUUAAAGAUACCUGUAAACAGCCCAUGUCAAUCGUGGACUUGACUAACUGCAAGCAAGAGGAAGGCAAAUCCAUGACCCAUUGGGUGCGCCGGGUCAAGGAAAUAAUACAUUCAUCUGAUAAGAUGGAUGCCAGCUCCACGGUCUUAAUGUUGGAGAAAAAUUACCGUUUUGAACCUCUGAAACAGAAGCUGGGGCGGCUCAAGCAUGAUUGUAAUGACAUGGGCCAGUUGAUGGCGGCUCUGGUCAAAUAUGCUGACUCUGACAGUACCAAGGAUCCCAUGUCUGACGAAGAGAAGACGAGGAAGGGAAAGAAGAACGGCAACGGCAAGGGUCACCAGCAUAACCCGACAAAUCAAGGAGGUAAUAAACGCAAGGCUGACGAGUUUGUGGCUAACACCAAUGCACAUGGCAACAACCAAUGGCGCAAGGGGAGGCCACCUCCUCGGUCAGGCGGAUCAGGUCCCACCCUCGAGCAACUACUAAAUGAACCCUGUCCGGGACAUGGCACCCGGGAGAAGCCGGCUACCCAUCUGUGGAAGGAUUGUACGAUCAUGAAGGCUUUUAAGAAUUCUAACAUGUUUGAUGGUAACCACGGGCCUGCUGGCGGCUCAGGCGGUGGCGGUUUUCAUGGCCAAGGCCAUCCGGGUAGUCAAGGCGAUUAUAGUCAGCAAUCCGGCCAGGGCAGUCAGCAACAGCAGCAACAGCCCGUGUAUCAGAGUAACCCAAAACAGCUGAACAGUGGACAGUACCAUGUGUUUACCACCAGUUUGUGCAAGAGGGACCAGAAGCUUCAGAAGAGGGAUGUAAAUGCUAUUGAGCCGGCGGUUCCACGUUAUUUGAGAUGGUCUGAACAACCUAUUCUGUGGAGUAGGGAAGAUCACCCACCCCGGGUUGAUAAUCCGGGUCAUCUGGCUUUGGUGGUGGCGCCUCAGGUUGGUGGAUAUAAGUUCACUAAAGUGCUCAUGGACGGAGGCAGUAGCAUCAACGUCCUCUAUUAUGAGACGUUCUGUCGCAUGGGGUUGACUGAUAAGAGUCUUAAAACAUCCAACACUGUUUUUAUGGGGUAGUGCCUGGUAAGUCGGCGUACCCAGUUGGUAAAAUUGAGCUGGAAGUGGCCUUUGGAGAUGAGUAUGAUUCUAGGGCUGAGAAGCUAACUUUUGAAGUGGUUAAAAUCAAGAGCCCAUAUCACGCUCUGUUUGGACGGCCGGCUUAUGCUAAGUUCAUGGCCCGGCCGUGUUAUGUGUAUUUGCAGCUCAAAAUGUUGGGUUAUAAAGGCACUAUCAUAGUACAUGGAAGCCGGAAAAUAGCCCUGGAAUGUGAAGAAGGUGAUGCUGCAUAUGCCGAGUCUGUUUGUGCAACAGAGGAAUUGAAGUUUUAUAAGGAUAAUGUUGACCCGGCAAACAUGGCGUCUUUGAAGAAGCCAACUACGGAGCAUGAGCCGGCAUUGAAAUUCAAGUCCGCUGAUGACACCAAGAUGAUUGAUUUCGUGUCUGGCGACUCAUCCAGACACUUCAUUAUCAGUGCUAACUUGGAUCCAAAAUAGGAAAGCGUGCUCAUCGAGUUCAUCCAUGAGAACCGGGACAUCAUUGCAUGGAAGCCUUCUGACAUGCCGGGUGUUCCGAGAGAACUCGUUGAGCACACUCUCAAUAUUCAUCCAAAGUUUAAGAUGGUCGGGCAAUUUCUUCGGCGGUUUAACGAGGAAAGGUGCAAGGCCAUUGGAGAAGAGGUGGCCCGGCUCUUGGCGGCCGGGUUCAUUGUUGAAGUUUUUCACCCAGAGUGGUUGGCUAACUCGGUGCUUGUGCUUAAAAAGAACGGCACCUGGCGCAUGUGUGUGGAUUACACAAAUUUAAACAAGGCUCGUCCAGCUGAUCCUUUUGCUCUCCCUCGUAUUGAUCAAAUCAUUGAUGCUACGGAGGGUUGUGAGCGUUUGAGUUUUCUGGAUGCUUAUUCGGGUUAUCAUCAGAUCAAGAUGGCAGUUAAGGACCAGGAGAAAACAGCUUUCAUCACUCCGUUUGGAGCCUUCUGCUAUGUGUCUAUGCCUUUUGGGCUCAAGAGUGCCCACGCGACUUAUCAGCGGUGUGUACAAAAUUGCCUUCAUAAUCAGAUUGGGUGUAAUGUUCAUGCUUAUGUGGAUGAUAUAGUGGUGAAAUCCAGAGAGAAGGAAACCUUAGUAGCUGAUCUAAAGGAAACCUUUGGUAACCUCCGGGUCUACAAGAUGAUGCUUAACCCGGCCAAGUGUGUUUUUGGAGUCCCAGCUGGCAAGCUCUUGGGUUUUUUGGUGUCUAAUGGAGGCAUUGAGGCUAACUCGGAGAAAAUAAAGGCAACCACGUCUUUGGCUAAACCGGCAUGCAUCAAUGACGUUCAGCGGCUGGCGGGCCGUGUCGCAGCUUUAAGCCGGUUUAUAAGUCGGUUGGGCGAGAAGGCUAUGCCAUUGUAUCAAAUGAUGAAAAAGGUGGAUGACUUUGUAUGGAGUGACGCUGCUGAUUCCGCUUUUGAAGGUUUGAAAAGACAGCUUGCUGGGCCACCUAUUCUUGCUGCCCCCGUUGAGAAGGAGCCGCUAUUGUUAUAUGUGGCUGCUAACUCACAAGCCGUCGGCAUGGCCAUUAUUGUGGAGCGCAAGGAGGUUGGCAAGGAACAUCCAGUUCAAUGGCCGGUUUACUACGUCAGUGAGGUGCUCAUUGGAUCCAAGAAAAGAUACCCACAUUAGCAAAAACUUGUUUAUGGGGUGUUCAUGGCAAGCCGGAAGCUUAAGCAUUACUUCCAGGGUCAUCCUAUCACUGUGGUUAGCUCUGCUCCUUUAGGAGAUAUUAUUUAGAACAGAGAAGCCACAGGACGAGUCGCCAAGUGGGCCAUUGAGCUUGGGGUCUCAUAAUAUAAAGUAUGUGCCACGUACGGCUAUUAAGUCUCAAGCACUGGUGGACUUCAUUAAUGAUUGGACGGAGUUACAGACACCUGAAGAGAAGCCAGACAACACAUAUUGGACGAUUCAUUUCGAUGGGUCCAGGCAGUUGGAAGGCUCGGGGGCUGGAGUUGUGUUAACUUCUCCUCGAGGUGACAAGUUUUGUUAUGUGUUGCGAUUGAUGUUUCCUUGUACUAACAAUGCAGCAGAAUAUGGGGCCUUGCUCCAUGGUCUUCGAAUGGCUAAAGAGAUGAGUUUAAGACGGGUACGGUGCCUUGGCGACUCAGAUUUGGUGGCUCGGCAGGUGUCAGGCAAGUGGGAUUCCAAGGACCCUCUCAUGGCGGCUUAUCGCCGGGAAGUUGAUGAUGUUGUUGGACAUUUCAAAGGUUAUCAGGUGGAGCACAUUGACCGCAGAAAAAACAAAGCGGCUGAUGCUUUAAGCCGGUUGGGAUCACAGCGUAAGCUGGUGCCACCUAACACUUUUCUAGAUGUUCUUCAAAACCCUUCUGUCAAACUGCCUACAGAGGAAGAUUUGGUCAUUCCAGACCCGGAGGCACAGUUAGUAGCGGCUCUUCAUGUUAUUCCAGAUUGGACAUUACCGUAUUUGGCUUACAUGACCCGGGGUGAGUUGCCAGAGGAUGAGACCUUGGCUCGACAGAUAACCCGACGGUCUAAGUCAAUGACAAUUUCCAAUGGUGAGUUGUAUCAUCGCAGCGUCACUGGAGUGUUUCAACGUUGUGUCUCUCCCGAAGAAGGUCAAGAAAUUCUUCGUGAGAUCCAUGAAGGGGAUUGUGGUCAUCACGCUGGUUCAAAGUCUCUUGUGGCUAAAGCUUUUCGUCAUUGUUUUUACUGGCUAACGGCUCACGCUGAUGCAGAGGAUCUGGUCAGUAGGUGUGAUGGGUGUCAAAAAUUUGCACGACGAGCGCACGUGCCGGCUUAAGAAUUGCGGAUGAUUCCAAUCACUUGGCCGUUUGCAGUCUGGGGGCUUGACAUGGUUGGACCUUUUAAAAGAUCCAAGGAUAAAAAGACACAUCUUUUGGUGGUAGUUCACAAAUUUACAAAAUGGGUUGAGGCAGAGCCGGUUAGUAAGUGUGAUGCAGCCACGAUGGUUCAGUUCAUGAAAAAGGUGAUCUUUCGUUUUGGCUUUCCACAUAGCAUUAUAACUGACAAUGGUACUAAUCUGUCCAAAGGCAACAUGGAGGAGUUUUGUCAAUGUGAGCAUAUCCGGCUUGAUGUUUUGUCUGUAGCUCACCCCCAAUCCAAUGGUCAAGCUGAGAGAGCAAAUCAGGAAAUCCUAAAAGGUCUCAAGCCCGACUUAUGGUUCGUUUACAACGGACGCCGGGUUGUUGGGUGGAGGAAUUACCCUCGGUGCUGUGGAGUAUCAAUACCACUCCUAACAGAUCUACAGGUUAUACACCUUUCUUCAUGGUUUAUGGAGCAGAAGCAGUUCUGCCUAGUGACAUCCGUCAUGACUCACCUCGCGUGGCGGCCUAUGUUGAAGCUGAUAAUGAACAAGCCCGACAGGAUGCACUUGACUUGUUAGAUGAGGAGAGAGAUUUGGCAGUGGCUCAAUCAGCAAUUUAUCAACAAGACUUGCGCCGUUAUCACAGCCGCCGGGUUAAGUCCAGAACCUUUCAAGAAGGUGACCUAGUGCUCCGGCUCAUCCAGGAUCUGUCUGAUGCACACAAGCUAUCCCCGCCUUGGGAAGGACCCUUUGUGGUCAACAAGAACUUAAACAAUGGGUCAUAUUACCUCAUUGAUGUUCGAGAGCACAAAGACCCACGUAAGUCGGAGGAGGAGACCCGCCGGCCGUGGAACAUCGCUCAGCUUCGGCCAUACUACACUUAAACCAUCGGCUCUCAUCAUGUACAUACUUUGACGUUGUAUAUAAUAUGAUAAGUAAUAAAGCAGGACCUCUGUCCUUUUUCCCCUUCAAUGAUCAUAUAUCUUUAUUAUUUUCAUUAUUUAAAAUGACCAUUAGGGGGCUGAUCGUAUCCGAAUCUAGCUUAACCCUUUUGGUCCGGCUCAUGAUCGUAUUCGAAUCUAGCCGUAAAACUCAUGGUCACUUGGGGGCUUCCUGUUCAAACAUAGGUCGUAUUCGAACCAAAGAGAACAUAGCUGUCGUAACCCUCUUGAUCGGCUCAAAGCCAAACUCACUAGGGGGCUUCUUGAUCGUAUCUGAAUCAUAGCUUAACCCCUUUUUGGGUCCAACUUGGAUCGUAUUCGAAUCAGGGUCGUUAAAAACCUCUCAAGGUCAUUUGGGGGCUUCCUAUUCAAACAUAGGUCGUAUUCGAACCAAAGAGAACAUAGCUGUCGGUACCCUCUUGAUCGGCGCAACGCCAAAGCCACUGGGGGCUAUAUGAUCGUAUCCGAAUCUUAGCUUAACCCCUUUGGUCCGGUUUACUGAUCGUAUUCGAAUUAGAAGCCUCCAGUUUUUAUUUAAAUGUUUGAUUUACAUUGUCUGAAGCCUAGUGUUUUAUCUUACUAUUUUUAUCGUCUCAAAUCUAACUGUUAGUAUGGUUUCAAAUUAAACCGGCUUGGCUAUUUGACAAUGUGUCGCCAAGGCAUAACAGUCAUCAGACAUAUGGAAGUAUUGACUUCUAAAAAAGAUUGGGUUAUCAACCUCAUCAUCCGGGUCAUGUAAACCGACAGUCCAUGUUCAAAAACCACAGGUAUGACAGUGUCAUUCAUGAACAGACUUCCCUGGGUUUUUCGUCAGUCAAAGGAUUUUUCAGCCUUGUUUAUCUUACAUCUGGUUCUAUUUUUUCCACUAUGAUAAUUUCAUAAUCAUGUACCGGGUGUUUUGACCCGUCCGGUGCUAAGCCACCGGGACAGUUUUUUUCAUCUUUUACAGGAACAGAGUUAAAACAUUACAGAUGUAACCACGAUGUAAUGCAUAUAUAUAUUGACAUCAUGGGCAAAGAGUCAUAUGAAACAUCUUAUGCACGAUGGCAUAGGCAAAAUAUGCAAUUUUCAAACUAACCUAUUACAAGGCAUUGAGAGCCCAAAAGGUUAAACGGUUUUCUCUCUUAAGCAGGUCUUAAGCUAAAAACUGGAUUGUUCAGAUGGUUAUGACUCCUCCCUGGCCGUUUCACCUCCCUCCACUGGUUGGAAGCUGGGAUUGGACCAGUCAAAGCCGUUCAGAGCAAUGAACUCAGCCUCAUCGUCAAUUAGGCCGGCCGGGUCAAUUUGCAGGGCAAAAGUGUGUUGACGAACCGGCGGGAUAAGAUCCAUCACUUUAUAAGAGGGAGUCGCCAUCUUUUUAUUCUCCAUAUCAAAACCCGACUGAUAUUUUUCGAUGUUGGUCUCCUCACCAAGAAUGGUAGCCUGAGGACGAACUCCCCUCACACAAGCAAUAAAGUCAUCUUGCUCAAACGGAGUCCCGUCUUCCUUCAUGGUAGGGUACCCCUUAGCCACGUCCACCGGGUGUAAAUCGGGCACCCAGGCUUUGGAGCGGCUCAGGGCAGUCAGGGCUCCGACUCUGGCACAAGAUCGUUUGACCUCUUGAAAUCUGGCGGGUAAGAUCGAUAACUUCUUCAAAACAUCACUUAAACGGUUGGGUCCUUGGUUGGCAGGGGAUAUAUAUAGUAGAAAGUGCUCGUUGAGCACCAGUGUACAGUUGCUCCACCAAGGUAUAAACCGCCUUCAGUUUUGUCACACUAUCUUGACUCAGAUAUUUUACUUCGUGGACCUGUGAGUACUUUUUAACAAAGGCUCAGCAGGCGGCUUAUAUUUCUGGUUAAAAUAAAGUAUAAGUGACUAAUGCAAAUGACUUACCAAAGAUGGCGGAGACCAUUUGAUACACACGGUUUUUUAAGCCGGUGAGCUCCAUGGUAACCUCCUCAAGAGUCGCCUCUGCUGUCUUGGCACGUUGUGUCAGCAAGGUCUUCUCAUCGGCCCAGGAUUUCUUCUUCUCAGUCACACUGGUCUUCAAUUUUUCAGUUUUAGAGAGACUCAAUUGGAGUUUGGAGUUAGCAGUCUUUAUCUCCGCUUCUUGAUCCGCCAGCCGGGUCUUUGCAUCCGUCAAUUGAGAUCCCAAUUCAGUUAGGGCGGUCUACAAACAUGCAUAGGUGUGUCAAAAUUUAAACACAAGUUAUAUUGAUUAAAGUCGCGAGUGCUUUGCAACGCAACACCACUUGGCACUUGGGGGCUAAUGUCUGCCAAAGCAAUUUUAUGCAAAAUGACUCUUCUAUGUUUCAAGUCCCAAGUGUUUUACAAAGUAACAACGCUUGGCACUUGGGGGCUAAUGCAUGAUAUUCAGAAAGUUUUUCAAGAUGAGCCGGAUCACACUACUUAUUUGGACUAAUCUAAGACAGUUAUGAAGUUAAGUACCGGGUCAUUUAUGAUAAAUUGAGCCGGCCCUUGGGGACUACAUGUGAAGUUUAUACUAAUCCGUUGAACUUAGGAAAAAUCUAAAGACAAGGUAUCAACCUAUAUCAUAAGUCUACAGAUCAUUCAGGUUCAUCAUAAUCUGAAGACUUGGGGGCUGGCAGAGUAUAUAUAAACCGGAGAACGUACCUCAUAUUCUGUAACAUCCCAAAUUUUCAAUUUGGAAUGUUACACGUUAGGUCAUCAUGCAUAUCAUAUUUUAUUUUUCUUUUGGUUUUGAUCCUAGAAAAUCCUAAGCAACUCAAGGACCCACGGAGAGAGUUGGGGAUUUCAUUAUUUACAUAUUUGAGUUUUCUCAAAUUAUGUAAACAGGAUCAUUUGAUUUUAUUUAUUCUAUCAUCAAUUAUUUCUAUUACAAAAAUAUGAGAGAGGGAAUAAAAUGACUUUUCCAAAAUAUAGAAAUAUUGAGGAUUUAAUAAAAAAUCAAAUAAGUUUUAUUUCGGAGUUUUUUGGUAUUUUUAUUUGAAUUUAGGAAAAAUGCGCGUUUUUCAAAUUGUAGUUUGGGCCCAGAUAAAUGUUCACUUUAUCGGGCUUGAUUUUAGGAACCCGGCAAAAUUUAUUUCGUGAUUUUUGGAGUCCGUUUAGUAUUUCUUUUUAUUUUUCUUCCGAGCGGAUUUAAAAAAAAACUAGAACCGACUCCGUGCCGUAACCGGCCAGGAAACCUCCGCCCGGGGCCUUUAUAUAGCGCCCGAACCGGCCGAGAGAGAGAGAGAGGCCCGAAGCCAGCUAACCCUAACCCUAGCUAAGCCGCCGCCGCCUCCCAGCCGUCGCCGCCCGCCGCUGCCGACUCGCCGGAGCGCGCGCCUUUCGAGGUUCGCCGCCGCCUCGUUUUCCGUGAAGUUUUUUUUUAAAAAAAAAAUCUGUUCGUCGUUUUUCUUUUUCGUCGGAUUUUCCGCGGUUAUUUUCUGAUCGCGAUUUCUGAUCCGGUUUUCGUUUUAGUAUAACUUUUCGCUCGUUUAUCGGAAUCAGGCGAUUCAAGCGCCUGGAGUUUCGUCUCGAAACCCUCUUUCCGAAUAAUCAACUUAAACAAGUUUUUGCUACUGUAAAAUUUGCCCUAGAUCCAGAUUACUAGAAGGAAGUUGUUUUUUUUGCCGUUUGAUUUCUUUCGCUUCGUUCGAUUUGAUUCUUUUGCCAACCAGGGUUCUUAAGUUGAACUUUCUGGUUAGAUCUUCUAUUUGAGUUUUACUUGUGCAUUAGAUGAGUACUUAUUGUAUGCUUGAUGUUUGUCUGUGAUAGAAUACCCGGAGUGCGCCGCCUGUUACUUCGAAUCUCUAGGUUUCGCGGAUCAUCAGCAAGGCAAGUAACACUUUGAUCAUACCUUUUCUACAACCCAGUUUUAUUGCAUUAGAUCAAUCCUCACACAUUGCAUGAUUAGGAUCUAAUUAAAUUGUGGGAUGGGAAGUAGAUGAGGUAGUACCUAUUACCUGUUUAUUAUCAAACCUUUGGGAGUUACUUCUACGUUUGCUUAUGCCAUGUUAUGCCGGUAGACGUGGAUUGGGUGAGUGAUAUCCAUGACAGAUGUGAGAUUUAUAAUUAAGGGUUAUCUAAGGUGGCAACCUAACACACAUCUGGGUGGAUUGAGGCACCUGGGGUUACCAGGACUUGCCUGUUUUCUUUUGGACCGCCACCCAGGCCCAAAGGGAUCAUGAGAUUUUUCAUACUAGAAACUUCCGUGUGCAGCCACAAGCCAUUAUGGGCUCUGGCAUAGUUGACUAAGUUGUGCGAACUCUUACAGUGGUAGACUAGCAGAUGUAGGGGAAAGUAGGUGUACCGGUCUACCCGUCGUAAGGUGCUAGCGCUUCUGAAAGACUGUGUCUCGGUCAUCCGUUUCUCAAACACCUUGUAGUGCGAGAAACCAAACGGAGGUGAUCGAGUCUUGUGGGGAAAAGUGCGCAAACCUCUGCAGAGUGUAACAAACUAAUCAUGGUUAGCCGUGUCCCUGAUUAUGGACAUCUUGAGUAUCUAUUACCUGGAUUAUCAUGUGAAUCUCAACAUGUUACUCUAAAAUUAAUUUUGUGGGAUUUUAAUGAUGUUACUUAAUUGGGAUUGAGGAUGCUGUCAACCAUUCUCAAUGUUUAACAACCACCAUGAUAGUAAUUAAUUUUAUUCCUUUGAAGUAGGGAAAAAUUGGCUUUACGCAAAAACUGUAACCAUAGAGCUUUCCACCAGCCAAAUAUGCAUAUAGUAUAGUUGUUGCAUUCCAUUACUCUCUAUGUGUUACCUUGCCAGCAUAUUCCAUGUGCUGACCCGUUUCGGGCUGCAACGUUAAUGUUGCAGACUUUUCAGAUGACGAUUGAGGAAUUUUAGGUCGUGGUUCUAUACUCAGUGAUGCCGUUGGAGUUGAUGGACUCACUUAUCUUCCAAGCCUUCCGCUGUUAUCGUUAUUAGAUGGCCUUAAGCCAUAUUUAUUGUAAUAAGUUCUCUUUUGAGACACUCGAUGUAAUAAGUGUGUGAUUGCUACUCUGCUAUAAAUCCUCCGAGUACUGUGUGGUGUCAGCAUUACUGAUCCAAGGAUGACAUCGGAGCACAGAGAUCAGACUGUUUAAGGUCUGGUCGCUACAUAUUCCAGUUGCAAUUGCUUGACCAUCUCAAUUUCCGAGUCACGGCUGGAAUGCACAGGACUGAGAUAGCCGGACAGCAUGUCACUAACAUUCAGAUGAGCAUAGUGAGAGAUAUCAAAUUGUACUUUCUGUCUUUCCAAGGCCUCCUGUUUAGCAGAAUGCCUGGCCAGCACAGUCGGAUUACCCGGCGCAACAAAUCUGCUGCCAGUGAUCAAAACGUCAUGGUCAGAAGAUGCUGGCAGGUUAGCUGAACCGGACGGUCUGACGGUGGAUGGAUCGACAAUGGUUUCGUCAGCUGACGGCUCAGGAGGGUCCAAUUGAGCAUGGACAGCUAAAUCUUCUGGCGCUUCAGAUUGAGUGGGAGGAGUUGAUGUUGCCAGUUCAGGUGCAGGAUUUUUUGGGUCCUCUGCCGGUUUAAUCACCUUGGCUUUCUUGGACUUUGCUUGACCGCUAAGAAAGAUUUUUAUGAAAUAGUUAGUAUAAUGAUGCAGUUUUAAAAAUGUAGAGGAAAGAUGAUUUUCCUUACCCAUGGGCAGUCUUGAAAGCCGGAAAUUGAGUUUGGGAUGAGUCGCCAGAAGAGCGAGAGACCUCCUGCAAAGGUAAAAUAAAGUUAAGAAUAUAAGGAAAUAAAUUCAUGGAUAAAAACAAAGGACAAAGGUGAAAGAAACCUCAUUCUGGCGUUUUUGAGGAGUUUUUUCUAAGUCGAAAGGUGGUUCAUCAUCAUCAUUAGUCCGGGCCAGAUGGCGGCUCUCAUGUUGCUGCUUUUUCAAAAGAAAAUGAGGGUCCAAAUAAGCCAAAGGGUGCAAAAACCUUACUUUCCGGGUUACCAGUCGAAGUUUCUGUCUCGGCAAAGGGGCUGAGUCGUAGGAAAUAGUUACCUCUUCUUCCGCGGCCUGGCUGGCCCCCGUGUCAUCCUGGCAAUAGUCAGUGUCAAUAAGAUAGUUGAAAAUUUGGCCAAGGGAGAAAGGGCUACCUCCGACUCAGAAACAUCAUCAAGCUGGAAGAUGUCAGAUGCAGUCUUCUUCUUGGGCUUCCGGGUCGUUCUCUUGGCGGCUACGGCAGCGGAUCUAGCCUUCUUGGUAGCUUCAUGAUCAUACUUGGCCUUCCAGAAGUCAGAUUUGUCCUGUAAACAAAUAAAGAGGUUAAAAGGUCAUGCAAGUAUUUAAACUACUGAGGUAAACACAAAAAGAGAAAAAGGUCAAGAAGUUACCUCUGGUGUCGGGUUAAGUUUGCAGAAGGGGUUUAAUCCAACCUUGCUGUAGUCCUCGUAUUUGCCAUUCACGAGGAUGGUAGACAUUGCAACAAUGUCUUCUUCAGUUAAUUGUACAGAGCUAUAACGCAGAGAAUCAUUUGGGCCUCCGCCAUACUUAUACAUCAACUUGGAUCGGCGGCUUAGAGGGAUGACCCGCCAUGAGAUCCAGCAAUGGAUCAGGUCAACUCCGGUUAAGCCAUUUCCCAAUAAAGCUUGAAUCCUUUUGACAGAUGGGAUAAGCUUCUUGCGUUCAGCAGUAGUAAGCUUGUCAGGGAGCACAAACUUGGAAUCAAGACGCUCUUCACGAUAACCCGGCAGUGGUUUUUCAUCAGCCGGUGAUGUAUCUUGGCAGUAGAACCAGGUUUGCUUCCAGUCUUUGGGAUGGCUCGGUAAGACCACUAAAGGAAAAACGGCACCUUGUCAGCGUUGAAUUGAAAUUCUGCCAAGUUCCAAGCUAAGGCCGUUGGUGCACUCAUUCUGGCGGUUCAAGUAAAAGUACUCUCUAAAGAGCUCCACAGUUGGUUCUUCUUGAAGAUAUACCUCACAAAGAACUUGAAAAUUGCAGAUGUUGGAUAUAGGGUUGGGUCCAAUAUCUUGUGGAUGAAGCUUGAAAAAAUGCAGGACAUCUUGGACGAACUUUGAGCCGGGUGGUGAGAAGCCCCGGUUCAUGUGAUCUGUGAAAACGAUAACUUCGCCGUCUUUGGACUAAGGUCGUUCUUCGUCCGGGUCAGGAGCACGAUAAGACAUAACGCUUUUCUCUGGCAAAAAUCCAAUGGUGACAAAUUAUUUCAAGGUAUCUUCAGUAACUGUGGAAGGCACCCGGUUGCAGACAGUUGGCGCUUUUGACGGCAUGAUGAAGAAAGGGCAAGCUGAAAAGAAAGUAAUUUGCCGGUUCAAUUUAUUGGUGGAGUUACAGGUUCAUGAUUAUAGUACAGAUGAGUAAUGGCGGCUUAAGUAAGGGCUAAUGACAUGUAAAGGAAAAAUAAGCCGGAGUCAUAAGCCGCCAUGACUAAAAAGUAUUUGAAGGUUGCCAGAAUCAAAAUUGACUAAAGUGUUGAGACAAACAGGUUUCCCAAGUUGUGGCUAUUAUUAUGGAUCAAAAUGGUUCAGAAAAUAAAAAUAAAGUUAGACCUAGAAAACGAGCACAGAGGAGUUUGUCAGCUCUAAAGAGGCAUUUAUACAGGAGAAGGGGAUCUGUUAGCUUCAAAAAUGGAUGAGAAAUAGCUACCUCAUAAGUUUUGUACUACUUUUAGAUCAAAAGAGGGUGCGGUAAGAGAAGUUGCAACGAAUCUAUGACGAACAACGAAGAACACAAGAAGGAAACCUCCCGAACCCUAAUGCAGAUCUAUGGGGGUGAGAAGGUGAGAGCUUACAGGUGCGGAGCUGCUGCGGAGGAUCGCCACCGUUCUCUGGAUAGACUCAGGGUGAUGCUGCGGCCAGAGUUGAGGACGACGGUGCGCUACGGUGGCGACGGAGCUCGAGCGGCAAAGAAGGUGCGAGAGGAAGAAGAAAGAGGAAGGACUGGCCGAGCCUAUUUAUAAGGGGGUAAGUGAACGGGCAGACGCAAAAAUUGAGGAAGACCAAAGUAAUGAUUAUCCAGCUAAAUGGACGCCUCGAUCUUCGGAAAACAUUUAAGAUAAGGAUCCGUUGAAGAUGAAAUCGUGGUGUUUUUCCAAAUUUUUUCAAUCCUAAUGGUUGGUUAAUAAAAUAAGCUCAGUGAAUAUACAAGGCGAUAGUUUAUUAUAAGACUUGUAGUAGGCCCAAGCCCAAAGGCGGUUUAAGGCCCAUAAUUGUAAACCGCCAUGUAUAAGAAAGACUUGUAAAGAAAGGCAUGUAAGAGAAGUCACCGAGCCGAACACGUUAUAUGAGCCGGCCGGGACUCUGUAGGCUGCCAGGCGUCAACCCAUGUAUAUAAGGGGAUGACCCGGUGGCUGCUUAGGACAAGUAACAUCAAAUCAAGAGCCAUGCAUAGCGUAUUUGCUCCCUGAUCAUCGAAACCUAGCAAUAUCACAUCAACUGGACUAGGCUUUACCUUCACCGUAAGGGGCCGAACCAGUAUAAACCUUUCGUGUCCUUUGUCCCGAUUAACCCCUUUAAGCUUCCUAGUUGCGAUGGCUCCACGGCUAAGUCCUUUCACUAGGACAUCAUCCGUGACAAUUCCACGACAACUCUGGUGCGGAUCUUACUAUGGUUGACCUACGAGGUUCAGCGGUAACUUGAUCUGAAGUUUCAUGAUCAUCAUCAUUAGCUUCCUCACUAAUUGGUGUAGGAAUCACUGGAACUAAUUUCUGUGAUGAACUACUUACCAAUUCGGGAGCAGGUACAAUUGCCUCAUCAAGUUCUACUUUCCUCCCACUCACUUCUUUCGAGAGAAAGUCCUUCUCUAGAAAGGAUCCUUUCUUAGCAACGAAUAUAUUGCCUUCGGAUCUGUGAUAGAAGGUGUACCCAACAGUCUCCUUUGGGUAUCCUAUGAAGACACAUUUCUAUGAUUUGGGUUCGAGCUUAUCAGGUUGAAGCUUUUUCACAUAAGCAUCACAGCCCCAAACUUUAAGAAACGACAACUUAGGUUUCUUGCCAAACCACAGUUCAUAUGGUAUCAUCUCAACGGAUUUAGAUGGUGCCCUAUUUAAAGUGAAUGCAGUCUGAAAGUGCGUUAUAUCGACUAGAGGGGGGGUGAAUAGGCGAUUUUUAUGAAAGUCUUCAAAACAUGGAAGUUUCGAAGACAAACGAUAGAAAUAAACCUAUUACCAUGCAGUGGAAGUUAGACUACACUAGAUAAACCGUAGUCAUGUAUUCAAUGAAGUGAAAGGACAAUGACUAAUAGUAGCUAGGUAGUAAGGAUCAGGCAGGAAGAUAUUAAGAAGCCAAACGGAUCACACAGUCACUCAGUGAAGACAAAAGAUAGAGAAAACAUACAAUGACUUCACACAGAGUAACAGUAAGUAAAGAGAAGGGAAGGAUGAAACCAGUGACUCGUUGAAGACAAAGAUUUGUUGGACCAGUUCCAGUUGCUGUGACAACUGUACGUCUGGUUAGGGCGGCUAGGUAUUUAAACCAAAGGACACACAGUCCCGGACACCCAGUCCUGAACACGCAGCUCAGGACAUCCAGUCCUCACCGUAUUCCCCUUGAGCUAAGGUCACACAGACCUCGCCCAAUCACUCUGGUAAGUCUUCAAGGUAGACUCCCAAACCUUCACAGACUUCGUUCACCGGCAAUCCACAAUGUCUCUUGGAUGCUCAGAACGCGAUGCCUAACCAGCUGGAGGAUGCACAGUCCUCAAGUGUAAUAAGUCUUCAGAUCACUCAGACAAGAAGACUUAAGUGAUGCCUAAUUCUCUUUCGCUCUGGGUGGUUAGGGCUUUAUCCUCGCAAGGAAUUCUCUCUCAAAGGCUUCGAGGUGGGUUGCUCUCAAACGACAAAAGCCGUACUUUGAAUCUGAGUAGCCAACCGUUUAUGGUUGUAGGGGGUGGGCUAUUUAUAGCCACUAGGCAACCCGACCUGAUUUGUCCGAAAUGACCCUGGGUCACUAAGGAACUAACAUGUGUUCCAACGGUCAAAUUUCAAACUCACACGGAAACUUUACUUGGGCUACAAGCAAAGCUGACUUGUCCGACUCUGGACAAGAUUUUCUCUCAUAGUCUUCACUCGAAGACAUAGGUUUUUGUUUAAGCAUCACUUUAGUCAUUCUGACUGGCUCUCUUGGACCCCACUUAACAGUAUGUUGGUUCCUAUGACUCAACACAGAAGAAAAAGAACUACGAAAAAUCUAAGUGUUCAAGCUCCAUAGGCUUCAUGCGGUGUCUUCUCUUGUCAUAGUCUUCAAUGUGAAUAUCUUCAUAUACCACCUUUGACAUCAAUGUCUUCAUACACUUUUAGGGGUCAUCUCUGGUGGGAAAACCGAAUCAAUGAGGUACUUCUACCUGUGUUAUCCUGCAAUUCUCACAAACACAUUAGUCCCUCAACUAGGUUUGUCGUCAAUACUCCAAAACCAACUAGGGGUGGCACUAGAUGCACUUACAAUCUCCCCCCUUUUGGUGAUUGAUGACAAACUAGUUGAAGUUUUCAACGGGGAAUAUAAUGUGUGAAAUUGUAAAGGAUAAGGAAUUGUCUUCAUAAGUUACAAGGGCUCCCCCUGAAGAUGUGCAUAUAAGUAAUUUGCUUUUGGAAUGCAAAUGCACAUGGCAGGUUGUGCUUGUGGAGAUCCACUUCAACUUAUGAUGACAAUCCACUAUGCAUGUGAAAGUAUGUGAAGAUAAUGACAUGCAUAAUGGAAAAUGGAUGUCUGCAGAAUGAUCUAAGUGCGGAAUCUAUCAUCGCACAUGCGGAAUUUAUCAUCACAACACAAGGUAGCAAAUAGGUAGCAGACGACCAUCAAGUUUAAGUGUUACAACUCAAAGAACCAAAUGUUUCAAAACGAGAGUUGUAAGCACGAAGCAAAAUAUAAAACACCCGCCCAUAUGGACCCAUUUGAAGACUAUCAAACUCAUAUGCUUCUCCCCCUUUUGACAGUAAGGACCAAAAAGGUUUGAAGACAUAGAGCCUCUACUCGUUCCCAUGAGGAGUAGGUGAAGCAGCAGGAUCGUUGAUGGUGUUUGGCAGUGCAGACGAGCUUGGAGCAGUGUCGACGUGUGCUGAAGGAGGCGGCGAAGAAGUAGCAUCGUCUUCAUCCUCGAUCACUCUGGCAUUCACGGUUGCAGUAGAGGAAGAGAACUCAGGGUCUUCAAGUGAUGGAGUUCGUCGCAGCACAGCCCUGCGAGGAGGUGUGGAGUCAAACUUGAAGCGCUCAGUGAAGCCAUCCUCUUGCAGAUCAUCUUCAGAACACAGCAGCGUCAGCCCUUUCCAUGUGCGUCGAGAUGUUUCAUGAGCAACAAAGGCGUUCUUGGUGGCAAGAUUGUGAAUGCGAUUAACAUCCACCAAGAGGCUUUGCAUUUGACGCUUUAGCCAGUCAUGAUGCCUAUCCUGUUUCUGAUGAAGGGCCACCAGAAGCUCUCGGUCAUUGAGGACACGAGUGCGCUUCUUGGGUCGUUGAGCAAUGGUGCUAUCAGUGGCUUCAGUAAGAGCAGGAUGCGGGGCACGGGUAGUGCCAGCCAAAGGAUACACACGUGUUACUGCUUCAAUGCCUUCAACGUUCCGAGAGAAACUUUGAUGCUCUGCAUUCUGAAGACUUAGAGGUUCCUUGGCAGGCUCAGGAUAUAUGGCUUCAAUAGACAUAUCCACAUCAGGCAAAAAGAUCCGAUGAUUGCGGGCAGAUGGCUGAUAUGAGAUAGCAGAGUGAAGUUUGAUCAGCCGCAUCACCCAAGGGGCGUAGAACUUCAACCCAAAUAGAUCAGAGCCAGAUGCAGCAAGUUGGCGAAUGAAGAAAUCCUAUGUAUUGAAGCAUUUUCCAUGAAGAAUAUAGAAGACCAAAGUCUUCAUUGCACCUUCCAGCUGGGCAUGGGGAGAAUGUCCUUUGAUUGGCCAGAGAGUUCGCCUUAUGAUAUGAUAAAUGGUCCUUGGCAGAUACUCAAGGUCUUCAACAAAGAACUCCGUGGGAUAAGCAGCAUCUUGGGGCAAUGGCUUCAUCAUACUGAGCAUCUGACUCAUAUUGGGUUCAGUCUUCUGAAAGAUGCUCUCAACAGCUUCAAUGUGAAGCUGACAGCCAUGCUCAUAGAGAUCGCCAGGAGUGGGCAAGCCAGUGAGCUCAAUGAUGUCAAAGACUUUGGCUUCGUGAUGAACAUUUCCAGUCAUCCACUCUAGGACCCAAGUCUUUGGAUCUCUGUUAUACCCGCGGAUGUGAAGUGUGGCAUAGAACUGGAGCAGCAACUCUUCAUUCCAAUGCUCUUGGUCAGUGACGAAUGGUAGCAGCCCAACUUCAUUGAAGCAAUCCAAAGCUUCUUCCAGACAGGCAGACCAGCUAUAGCUUCAAUGUCAAGGCGCUUGUGUGGGAAGAUGCGACCUUUGUUGUAAAGAAUGCAUGAGUAAUAGCUUCGCUGCUGAUAGCUCCAGAACCGAUCAGAUGAUAUUCUUUCCCUGGAGUAGGGGUUCCUGGAGCUAUUGAAGAAUGUGUUGUCUGCUCUGAAGCCAUUGAUGUUAAAGGAGCCAGGUGCUAAUGCAGGACCUGGGAACCUGGGCAAUCUUGGGAUUGGCUUCUGGACCUGAGGCCUGUGCUCAACAUGAUAGUCGAAUUGGGGACCGGCAGCAGACGCAGGAACAGGAGCAGCAGGAUUAGUGGCUUCGCUGACUUCUGGUGCUGUUGGGGGUGAGGGCUCCACAUUAGCUUCAGCCAUGACGGUGUCAGUGGCUUCAGUGGUGUUGGUGGUGGCAGCCUCUAGAUUUUCAACCUCCACUUGACGAGCUGGAGGGUCGGUCAUGAUCACGUUCUCCUCGAGAACCGCUUCUUGGUGGGGCAGGGGAGUAGCAGCUUGUGGAACUUCUUCUUCCGUGGCUGAUGCAGCUAGAUUGUCUUCAGCAGAGACUUGAGGCCUUGGACCUUUGUGAAGCCUGCGCAACGCGGGCGAUGCCUGUGGAGCUGGAGUGGGCUGGGCCUCAUAGUCUUCUUCCUCUUGUUGGCGAUCCGCCCAUGAAGCAUCCUGUGCCAUUGGCGUCAGUGGACGACCAAUGCUGAUGAGUUCGUUGUUUUCAAGCUGAGGAAGAACUGCACCAUCUUCUACAUGGUCAUGUUGACCAAUGUCUUCAGCAGUGAUGGGAUCAGCUGUUGGAAAGUCUUUAGCUUUAUGAGCCUCUGUGGAAGCAGGCUCAUGGAUUGUCAGUUGGCGUUCAGCUUCAGGAUAGACCAUUGAAAUAGGUUCAACUAUCAAAGGCUCUGUGGGAGCAGCCUGUUCCUUCUUGGUCUUUCGUUUCUUCUUGGAGGGGGCAGUAGGAGAGGCUUCAGGAUGUUUCCUCUUCCUGGCUUCAGCCUCAGCAGUCCUUGUCUUCUUGAGCUCUGAAGCGGUUGACCGGCUUUUUGGCUUCAAGCCAGUCAGUCUAGUUGGGAAGACAAUCGGAACUGCUUCCUGCCUUGGUGCGUCGGAUUCAGCCGUAGCAGUCUUCUUCUUCUUCUUUGCGGCCAUCCUAGGGUCAAUGCCAGGACGCCCAAGGGCCUUGCGCUUCUCAGCCUCAUUGUAGGCUUGCACACAUCUGUCAGCCAGAGCCUUCAUGCGCUCACGUGAAUCCCGAGCUUCUGCACAUUUCUUCAGAAAGGCUUCCUUGAGCUCGUGCAUCAUGAUCUUGAAGUUCUUCACUUCUUGCACACUGAGCUUGGCCAUAUGCUUCUUGAACUGAGCCUUUUCAUAGUCAAUCUUCUGCUUUAGUUCAACAACGUGUCGGGCGAUGGCUAGCUCUGAAGCAAUGGCGCCUUGGAAGGCGACACUGAGGCCAAUGGGUAGCUGCAGAUCAUCAAAGCUGAUGUUUGGCAUAUCAAACCACUCGUCAAUGAAGUUGUGGAUGAUGGUUACAUCAAAGAGAGGCAGAUCAUUGAAGAUUUCGGCUUCUUCUUUGCUCUUGAUGAGUUGCUCAAGAGCGUCAUCUGCAAGAUCUUCAUCACUUGACAGAUCAAUGUCAUCAUUGCGCAGAAUGGCAGCAGCUGUUAGCUCUUGGCCGGUGUGUGGCAGAGGCAUCUUGGCCUUCUAGGGCUUGGAGAUGCGUGAUAAAUCUUCGGACUGCACACUGUCUUCAGGAGAUGCAGUUGCCAGUGGCUUCGCCCUUGAGAUUUUUGGUGAAGGGGCAGGCUUUGAAGCUUUGGGCUUCUUCAACUUCUUUGGUGUUGGCGCUGCAGGCGCUUCAUCUGAUUCAGCGUUAGCUGCAGGCUCAUUCACGGUUGUCCCUUGAACCAAGAUAUGGGUGAUGAGUCCUGCAAGGUUGUAGAAAGGACCGACGACAUUGGGUUCCGCAUCGCGUGUGCCGUCAGCCCUUGGAGCAGAAGGACCAGGGUUGAAGUCUAAUCCAAAAGACUUCUUGUUCUGCUUUGCUGAGUUCUUGGCAAACUGGAAGUUGCGCUUGAAUAGAUUGUCGUCACGGCACCAUAGUAGUGACGAUGGGUGUGCAUCUGCAGGCUGUGGCCCACGCACCAUGCAGGGAUAGAAGCCUUGUUCAAUGGCUUCUUCUCUGGACCUGGGUUGAAGAUUCUUGUAUAGGAUGUCUCCCCAUGGUCUCUUGAUGGCAUUUCUCUCAGCAUAUUCCUGGGUCACAAACCGGUAUUUGAACCAUUGUUCUGCCCAAUAUCUUCGAAUCCAUUGGAUUCGGGUCUUGCGCUGAUUAUAAUCCUGUUCAGGAUCUGUCUUGUAAAGCUCUGAGAGGUCAUCAGGAAAAUCUCUUGAUGUCCCCCCACGACGCUGUCUGCCACCCUUCCUUACUGAUUUCUCUGCAGCCAUGAACUUCAAACUGAAAGGCUUCAAAACGUUCAAAGGCUUCAAAGGUUUUCGCUUGCUGGACAAACAGGAACUGGCUUCGGGAGAAUUUAUAUGAUGCUGUAAGAAUUCUGCAAAUGAAUGCAGACUAUGAGAACCAAGGGAUUCUCCCAUGGACAUGUACCUGUGACAACAUUAAGGUGCAAGGGAAGGGGAAGAGGUCAUAUGCAUUCUCAGGAGAUUUUGAAGAUAAAUCAGUUUAGAAGACAUUGACCUCAUCGUGCGAAGACAUUCACUCAUAGAUAAGGAGUUGGUUCCAGAUUUGUACGAAUCCAGUGAUCAGUACAAGUGAGGAAUCUAACUACUUGUGAAGCAUAAGUGAAUAUACUAGGCAUGUUAUGAGAUGCAGUAGGAAAGAGAUCCAACUUGUGUGAAUAGAAACUUCUUAUGGUAGAAAGUGACAAAGCCAUAGGAUCAAAAGGGGCCGUAAAAAGAAGUUUUAUUUACCACACUUGGAACUGCUAGAUGGAGUGGAAGAGGAGGCCGAGCAGUUCGAUCUUCUGUGCCCUAACUUGGCGACGAAGGACACCUACGGCGACGGCGGAGAGGACGAUGUCCGCGGUCGGUGUGAAGACGGCGUCGGAGAGGUUGCGGCAGUGAAGCGCUUCGUCGCCGGCGUCGUCGAGGGCUAGCAGUGGCACUAGGGUUCGUGCGAGGGUGGAAGAAGAGAUGAUGACCGCUGUGAAGGGUGUAUUUAUAGGUACAGGGGCGGCACUGCGUUAUUACACAGGUGCCCCUGGCGAUUCACAUCUGAGGAACACGUGGCCAUCAUGCAGUAUAUUGGGGUUUGUUCCACGUCUCACGCACGCCUAGAUUGUCGGGUGGUCGUUCCUACUUCUCCGGGUUUCAUGUGGAGGAAUGGGCAUUGAAAACGGACUUAAUGUUUGUCUCUGUAUGUUCUGCUGACAAGGACGCAGAGAAGACAUUCGACAGUUUCAAUAGAAUGCAUAUGAUUUGGAGAGAUAGAGUUUGAGAUAGAGAGCACAGAGAGGUUAGGGUCCGAUCACAUUCACUUAGAUCAAAAGAUUCAACAAGAAGACAUAGCUAUAAGUGAAUACUGUAGAGGACAGAACACUAGUAUAUAUAUAUAUAUAUAAUCAACAUAGUGAAGAUAAUCAUGAAAACAUGUUGAGAUUGAAACCAAACCAAAUGUGAAGUCAUAGCAAGGUAAUGCCAUGAGUGAAACACUUCAAAUAGAACAUUUGGUGGUGGCGUUACCCACCGUAUAGGAAGUAUUAGACCCAGACACGGCGCACAAUUAUCGUGGCGCUCCGAAGUCAAAUUCCACAUUAAUGUAUUCACACUUAGAAUGUAUGUCUUCAUUGAUUGAAGAUAUACUUUACUUCGUGUGUUGCACAUCUAAGUCAUCAAUAUGCAUAAGGGUUAGGAUGUGUGCCUGAUCACAGGACAUUUGAGGAUUCCAGGAUAUUUAGCUCACAUCGUAACUUGCAAAAUCUCUUCUCAUCCAAGGGCUUGGUGAAGAUAUCUGCCAAUUGCUCUUCAGUGUUGACGUGUAUGAUAUCAAUAUCUUCCUUCACAACAUGAUCUCUGAGAAAGUGAUGACGAAUUUCAAUGUGCUUUGUCUUCGAGUGCUGAACAGGGUUGUUGGCAAUCUUGAUGGCGCUUUCGUUGUCACAGUAGAGUGGCACUUGCUUCAGAUGAAUGCCAUAGUCCUUGAGGGUUUGCUUCAUCCACAGAAGCUGAGCGCAGCAAGAUCCAGCAGCAAUGUAUUCAGAUUCAGCAGUGGAGAGAGAUACACAGUUCUGCUUCUUUGAAGACCAACAUACAGGUGAUCGUCCCAGAAAAUGACAUGUGCCUGAUGUAGACUUGCGAUCCACCUUGUCACCAGCAUAAUCAGCAUCCGAGAAUCCAACCAGAUCAAACUCUGAGCCCUUUGGAUACCAUAAUCCUAGAGUUGGGGUGUGAGCCAAAUAUCGAAGAAUUCGCUUCACAGCUAGGUGAUGCGACUCCUUUGGUGCCGCUUGAAAUCGAGCACACAUGCAAACACUAAGCAUAAUAUCUGGCCUAGAUGCACAUAGAUAAAGCAAAGAACCAAUCAUGGAGCGGUAUACCUUUUGAUCGAACUCUUUACCAUUGUCGUCAGGACCCAGAUGAUGCUUGGCUGGUAUUGGCGUCGUGAACCCUUUGCAGUCUUGCAUACCGAACUUCUUAAGGCAAUCCUUGAGAUGCUUCUCUUGAGAUAUGAAGAUGCCGUUGCGUUGCUGUCGUAUUUGAAUACCGAGGAAAAACUUCAGCUCUCCAUCAUGGACAUCUGAUAUUGCUCUUGCAUCAUAUAUCCAAACUCUUCACUGUACUUCUGAUUGGUGCAGCCGAAGAUAAUGUCAUCCACAUAUAUUUGGCACACAAACAGUUAACCAUCAUAUGUCUUCGUGAAGAGAGUGGGGUCGAGGGAACCAGGUAUGAAGCCUUUGCUCUUCAGGAAGUAUUUGAGUGUGUCAUACCAGGCCCGAGGGGCUUGUUUGAGGCCAUAUAGUGCCUUGUUGAGCUUGUAUACCGUAUCAGGAUGUUUUAGAUCUUCAGAGCCAGGUGGUUGUGCAACAUACACUUCUUCUUCAAUCUUUCCAUUGAGAAAGGCGCUCUUCACAUCCAUUUGAUAAAGAAGUAUGUUGUGAUGAUUUGCAUAGGCCAGCAGUAUGCGUAUGGCUUCAAGUCUAGCCACAGGAGCAAAUGUUUCAUUGAAGUCAAUGCCUUCCACUUGAGUAUAUCCUUGAGCAACUAGACGAGCUUUGUUUCUGACAACUUGACCAUGCUCAUCUUGCUUGUUGCGGUAUAUCCAUUUUGUGCCUAUUAUGUUGUGCUUCCGAGGAUCAGGACGCUUAACCAGUUCCCAUACAUUAUUCAGCUCAAACCGUUGAAGCUCUUCUUGCAUAGCUUGAAUCCAUUCAGGUUCCAUGAAGGCUUCUUCCACUUUCUUGGGUUCUGUUAUUGAGACGAAUGCGAAGUGCCCACAGAAAUUUGCCAGCUGGGUUGCCCUUGAUCGACUGAGCGGACCAGGUGCAUUGAUGCUGUCAAUUAUUCUCUCAAUUUGCACUUCAUUGGCAACACGAGGAUGUACAGGGCGAAGACUUUGCUCUUGCUGAUCAUUGUCGUUGUUGGAGGGAUUGUCUUCAGGUUGAGCAUUGUCUUCAGGUUGAUCUGGUGCAGAGAUGAUGAGUUCCUCUUCAGGAUGAGCUUUAGAAGGUAUGAUUUCUCCAGUUCCCAUUAGCUUGAUUGAUUCACUGGAUGGAACUUCAUCUAGCACAUUUGGCAGGUGCUCUCUUUGUGAACCGUUAGUCUCAUCGAACCGCACAUCCACGGUUUCAACCACUUUAUAAUGAAAGAGGUUGAAGACUCUGUAGGAGUGCGAAUCCUUUCCAUAUCCAAGCAUAAAACCCUCAUGUGCUUUUGGGGCAAACUUUGAAGUGUGAUGUGGGUCCUUGAUCCAGCACCUUGCGCCAAAUACUCUGAAGUAACUGGCAUUUGGCUUCUUGCCAGUGAGGAGCUCAUACGAUGUCUUGUUCAGAAGCUUGUGAAGAUAAACACGAUUGAUUGUAUGGCAUGCAGUAUCAAUGGCUUCAGGCCAGAAUUUUCUUGGAGUCUUGUAUUCAUCUAGCAUUGUUCUGGCCAUCUCAAUGAGUGUUCUGUUCUUGCAUUCGACGACGCCAUUCUGCUGUGGCGUGUACGGGGCUGAGAAUUCAUGUGUGAUGCCCAAGGUAUCAAGAUAUGUAUCAAGGCCAGUGUUCUUGAAUUCAGUGCCAUUGUCACUUUUGAUGUGCUUUAUCUUGGCACCAUAGUUGUUCAUUGCUCGAUUGGCGAAGCGUUUGAAGACAUCCUGCACUUCAGUCUUGUAAAGGAUUAUAUGCACCCAAGUGUAUCUAGAAUAAUCAUCAAUAAUGAAGAAGCCAUAGAGACAAGCAGUAGUAGUAAGAGUUGAGUAAUGAGUGGGACCGAAAAGAUCCAUGUGAAGCAGCUCGAAGGGUCGAGUAGUAGUCAUGAUUGUCUUCGAGGGAUGCUUGGCCCUCGUCAUCUUUCCUGCUUCACAGGCACCGCAUAAGUGAUCUUUCUUGAACUUGACGCCCUCAAUGCCUAUGACAUGCUUCUUCUUUGCCAGGGUGUGGAGGUUCCUCAUGCCAGCAUGCCCAAGCCUCCGAUGCCAGAGCCAGCAUUCUGAAGCUUUUGCUAGAAGACAUACGGCAAGUUGUGGUCCUGCUGAGAAAUCUACCACGUACAGAUCGUCUUUCCGAUACCCUUCAAACACUAGAGACUUGUCAGAUUCCAUUAGAACAAGGCAACAAUAUUUUCCAAAUAUUACGAUCAUGUUCAAAUCGCAUAGCAUUGAGACAGACAUUAAGUUGAAGCCAAGGGAUUCAACAAGCAUGACUUUAUCCAUGUGUUGAUCCUUUGAGAUUGCAACUCUACCUAGACCCAAUACCUUACUUUUACCAGUGUCAGCAAAUGUGAUGUGGCUCUUGUCGGAAGGACGUAAGGUUGAGUCCAUCAGAAGGCUUCUUUUGCCAGUCAUGUGAUUUGUACACCCACUAUCAGUAAUCCAUUCUGUAUACGCUGGUGUCGUACCCUACAGUGCAGUUAGGGGGAUAGGCUUCACGAAGAGAGUUGUGAAGCAAAAACAUUUGACGAACCAGUGGGUUAUGAAAGCUUAGAUCCAGAUUAGUACUGAUAGGGAGAGUAGCAAGCGAUUCAGGAACGAAGUACAUAGUAAGACCAUUCGGCAUUUGAUCUUGCGCCCUACAAGAUGUUUAAGGUCCCCAGCGAUAGCGUCAGAAGAUUUUGGUUUUCUGCUGGAGACCUUUCCCUGCAAAAGAGAGUUAAGCCUUCUUAACAACCCACAUCUUCAAGGGUGGCUUAGAAGCGAUAAGUCUAAGUGCAGAGUCUGAAAACUUUGGCUUUGGGGCUCUAGCAAAAAGUCUUGCAGGUGGACAAUAAUACUCAUAAGAAUAAGCAGAAUAGUUUUUGGUCUUAUGAACAUGGCGGUUCGAUGAACCGCGCUCAUAUUCAUAGGCCUGAGUAUGGUUUCCCUGCAAAACAUUUGCAUUAGUCCGACUCAGGUGAGUCCUCUGUCUGUAUGAAGCCUUUGGGCCAUAUGAAGCCUGUGGUCUGGGGUUUGUCUUCUUCAUCUAUGGUGUCAUGAUGACAUUCACAGGAAGAUUUUCCAAACACCUUUUGGGCACCCAGACCUUCUUCAUAGGCGGUCCAUUCCUGCAGUUAGUACCAAUGUACCUGGCAAAAACUUCACCAUUCUGAUUCUUAAAUAGUUUAUAGUUUGCAUCAAAGGAUUCAUCAAUGACAAUGGGGUUAGCACAAGUGAAGCCAGAUAGACUGGAUGGAUUUGCUGAAGGUUCCUUUGCAGCAACCCAUGUGGUUUUGGGAUACUGCUCGGGUUUCUAGUAAGAGCCAUCAGCAUUCAUUUUCCUUAUGAACCCAACACCCUCUUUCCUCGGGUUUCGGUUCAGAAUCUGCCUUUUGAGGACAUCACAUAGUGUCUGAUGCCCUUUAAGACUUUUGUACAUCCCUGUUUCAAGCAAUGUCUUCAACCUAGCAUUCUCAUCAGCAAUCGCAGUAGUAUCCUCAGUAGAGGGGUUAGUUACCACAUCAACAGUUGAAGAUAUUGCAACAGUAGCAGUAGUAGAACAUUCAGCAACAGAAGCAGCAUUAUCACGCUCAAUGCAUUUAAGACAUGGUGGUUCAAAUCCUUCCUGAGCGGAACUGAUCUGUUCGGCGCGAAGUGACUCGUUUUCCUUUUGAAGAUCUUCAUGAGCCGCUCUCAAUUUCUCAAGAUCUUGCUUCCUUUGAAGAUAAUCAUAGGAAAGCUUUUCAUGAGUUGUUGAGAGCGUUUCAUGACAACUUUCAAGUUCCUCAUAUUUAACGUGAAGAUUUUUUAUGUCUUGAAUUAAGGAUUCAGAUCGAGUCAUUUCAACGCCCAACAAAUCAUCGCUUUUGUCUAACAGUUUUUGAAUAUGUUCCAUGGCUUUCUGUUGUUCAGUUGCAAUUUUAGCAAGUGUUUUGUAGCUGGGUCUUGAAUCACAAUCAGAGUCAUCAUCACUAGAUGUUUGAUAGUGAGUAGUGCGUGUGUUUACCUUGGCACCGUGUGCCAUGAAGCAGUAGGUAGGAGCAGAGUCGUCCUUGUCAUUUGCAUCGGCGUCGGUGGUGAAGUCAUUGUCUUCAGUGUUGAAGAUGGACUUGGCAACGUAUGCUGUAGCCAGACUUGCAACACCAGAAUCGGACUCCUCCUCAGACUCCACCUCCGCCUCCUCAGACGCGGACUCCUCCUCUGAAUCCAUUUCCUUGCCAACAAACGCACGUGCCUUGCCAGAUGAGCUCUUCUUGUGUGAUGAAGACUUUGAGGAAGACUUGGAAGAAGACUUUGAGUAUUUCUUCUUCUUCUUGUCGUCAGAGUCAUAUUCCUUGCUCUUCUUCUUCUUUCUAUUCUCAUUGUCCCACUGCGGACACUCAGAGAUGAAGUGGCUAGUUUUCUUGCACUUGUGACAUGUUUUCUUCUUGUAGUCAUGAGCAGAAGCUUCAUCAUUCCUUGAGCUUGAUCGUGAAGACUUUCUGAAGCCUUUCUUCUUGGGGAAUCUUUGGAACUUCUUUACAAGCAUAGCAAGUUCCUUUCCAAUGUCUUCAGGAUCGUCAGAACUGCUGUCAGAUUCUUCUUCAGAUGAGGAGACAACUUUUGCCUUCAGGGCACGAGUUCGCCCAUAGUUUGGACCGUAGAUAUCUCUUUUCUCAGAAAGCUGAAACUCAUGUGUGUUGAGCCUCUCAAGUAUGUCGGACGGAUCGAGUAUCUUGAAAUCAGGUCGUUCUUGAAUCAUCAGGGCUAGGGUGUCAAACAAACUGUCAAGUGAUCUCAGUAGUGUCUUGACGACUUCAUGCUUGGUGAUCUCAGUGGCGCCGAGCGCUUGAAGCUCAUUUGUGAUGUCAGUGAGUCGGUCAAAUGUGAGCUGGACAUUCUCAUUGUCAUUUCGCUUGAAGCGGUUAAAGAGGUUGCGAAGAACGCUGAUUCUCUGAUCUCUCUGGGUUGAGACGCCUUCGUUGACCUUGGAGAGCUAGUCCCAGACCAGCUUCGAUGUUUCCAAAGUGCUCACACGGCCAUACUGUCCUUUGGUCAGAUGACCACAGAUAAUGUUCUUGGCAGUAGAGUCCAGUUGAACGAACUUCUUGACAUCAGCAACAGUGACACCUUCUCCAGCCUUGGGAACGCCGUUCUUGACGACAUACCAUAGGUCGACGUCAAUGGCUUCAAGAUGCAUGCGCAUCUUAUUCUUCCAGUAGGGAUAUUCAGUUCCAUCGAAGACGGGGCACGCAACGGAGACUUUAAUUAUCCCUGCAGUCGACAUAGCUAAAACUCCAGGUGGUUAAACCGAAUCACACAGAACAAGGGAGCACCUUGCUCUCAUACCAAUUGAAAGUGCAUUAUAUCGACUAGAGGGGGUGACUAGGCGAUUUUUAUGAAAGUCUUAAAAACAUGGAAGUUUCGAAGACAAAUGAUAGAAAUAAACCUAUUACCAUGCAGCGGAAGUUAGACUACACUAGAUAAACCAUAGUCAUGUAUUCAAUGAAGUGAAAGGACAAUGACUAAUAGUAGCUAGGUAGUAAGGAUCAGGCAGGAAGAUAUUAAGAAGCCAAACGGAUCACACAGUCACUCAGUGAAGACAAAAGAUAGAGCAAACAUACAAUGACUUCACACAGAGUAACAGUAAGUAAAGAGAAGGGAAGGAUGAAACCAGUGACUCGUUGAAGACAAAUAUUUGUUGGACCAGUUCCAGUUGCUGUGACAACUGUACGUCUGGUUAGGGCGGCUAGGUAUUUAAACCAAAGGACACAUAGUCCCGGACACCCAGUCCUGAACACGCAGCUCAGGACACCCAGUCCUCACAGUAUUCCCCUUGAGCUAAGGUCACACAGACCUCGCCCAAUCACUCUGGUAAGUCUUCAAGGUAGACUCCCAAACCUUCACAGACUUCGUUCACCGGCAAUCCACAAUGUCUCUUGGAUGCUAUAACGCGACGCCUAACUGGCUGGAGGAUGCACAGUCCUCAAGUGUAAUAAGUCUUCAUAUCACUCAGACAAGAAGACUUAAGUGAUGCCUAAUUCUCUUUGGCUCUGGGUGGUUAGGGCUUUAUCCUCGCAAGGAAUUCUCUCUCAAAGGCUUCGAGGUGGGUUGCUCUCAAACGACAAAAGCCGUACUCUGAAUCCGAGCAGCCAACCGUUUAUGGUUGUAGGGGGUGGGCUAUUUAUAGCCACUAGGCAACCCGACAUGAUUUGUCCGAAAUGACCCUGGGUCACUAAGGAACUGACACGUGUUCCAACGGUCAGAUUUCAAACUCACACGGCAACUUUACUUGGGCUACAAGCAAAGCUGACUUGUCCGACUCUGGACAAGAUUUGCUCUCAUAGUCUUCACUCGAAGACAUAGGUUUUUGUUUAAGCAUCACUUCAGUCAUUCUGACUGGUUCUCUUGGACCCCACUUAACAGUGCGGUGGUUCCUAUGACUCAACACAGAAGAAAAAGAACUACGAAAGAUCUAAGUCUUCGAGCUCCAUAGGCUUCAUGCAGUGUCUUCUCUUGUCAUAGUCUUCAAUGUGAAUAUCUUCAUAUACCACCUUUGACAUCAAUGUCUUCAUACAUUUUUAGGGGUCAUCUCUGGUGGGAAAACCAAAUCAAUGAGGUACUUCUACCUGUGUUAUCCUGCAAUUCUCAUAAACACAUUAGUCCCUCAACUAGGUUUGUCGUCAAUACUCCAAAACCAACUAGGGGUGGCACUAGAUGCACUUACACAGUCGUCUCUAAAGCAUAACCCCAAAAUGAUAGCAGUAAAUUAGUAAGAGACAUCAUAGAUCGCACCAUAUCUAAUAAAGUGCGGUUACGAUGUUCGGACACACCAUUAUGUUGUGGUGUUCCGUGUGGCGUGAGUUGCGAAACUGUUCUGCAUUGUUUCAAAUGAAGACCAAACACGUAACUCAAAUAUUCACCUCCACGAUCAGAUUGUAGAAACUUUAUUUUCUUGUUACGAUAUUUUUCCUCUUCACUCUGAAUUUUUUUGAACUUUUCAAAUGUUUCAGACUUAUGUUUCAUCAAGUAGAUAUACCCAUAUCUGCUCAAAUCAUCUGUGAAGGUCAGAAAAUAACAAUACCCGCCGCGAGCCUCAACACUCAUCGGACCGCAUACAUCCGUAUGUAUUAUUUCCAACAAGUCUAUUGCUCACUCCAUUGUUCCGGAGAAUGGAGUCUUAGUCAUCUUGCCCAUGAGGCAUGGUUCGCAAGCAUCAAGUGAUUCAUAAUCAAGUGAUUCCAAAAGUCCAUCAGCAUGGAGUUUCUUCAUGCGCUUUACACCAAUAUGACCUAAACGGCAGUGCCACAAAUAAGUUGCACUAUCAUUAUUAACCUUGCAUCUUUUGGCUUCAAUAUUAUGAAUAUGUGUGUCACUAUUGUCGAGAUUCAAUAAAAAUAGAUCACUCAUCAAGGGUGCAUGACCAUAAAAGAUAUUACUCAUAUAAAUAGAACAACCAUUAUUCUCUGAUUUAAAUGAAUAUCCGUCUCGCAUCAAACAAGAUCCAGAUAUAAUGUUCAUGCUUAACGUUGGCACCAAAUAACAAUUAUUCAGGUCUAAAACUAAUCCCGAUGGUAGAUGUAGAGGUAGCAUGCUGACGGCGAUCACAUCGACUUUGGAACCAUUUCCCACGCGCAUCGUCACCUCGUCCUUAGCCAAUCUUCGCUUAAUCCGUAGCCCAUGUUUCGAGUUGCAAAUAUGAGCAACAGAACCAGUAUCAAAUACCUAGGCGCUACUACGAGCAUUAGUAAGGUACACAUUAAUAACAUGUAUAUCAAAUAUACCUUUCACUUUGCCAUCCUUCUUAUCCAUCAAAUACUUGGGGUAGUUCCGCUUCCAAUGACCAGUCCCUUUGUAGUAGAAGCAUUCAGUCUCCGGCUUAGGUCCAGACUUGGGCUUCUUCACUUGAGCAACAACUUGCUUGUCAUUCUUCUUGAAGUUCCCCUUCUUCCCUUUGCCCUUUUUCUUGAUACUGGUGGUCUUGUUGACCAUCAACACUUGAUGCUCCUUCUUGAUUUCUACCUCUACAGCCUUUAGCAUUGCGAAGAGCUCGGGAAUUGUCUUAUCCAUCCCUUGCAUAUUAUAGUUCAUCAUGAAGCUUUUGUAGCUUGGUGGCAGUGAUUGAAGAACUCUGUCAAUGACACUAUCAUCAGGAAGAUUAACUCCUAGUUGAGUCAAGUGGUUGUGGUACCUGGACAUUUUGAGUAUAUGUUCACUAACAAAACUAUUCUCCUCCAUCUUACAGCUGUAGAACUUAUUGGAGACUUCAUAUCUCUCAAUCCGGGCAUUUGCUUGAAAAUUUUACUUCGACUCCUGGAACAUCUCAUAUGCUCCAUGAUGUUCAAAACGUUGUUGAAGUCCCGAUUCUAAGCCGUAAAGCAUGGCACACUAAACUAUCGAGUAGUCAUCGGCUUUGCUCUACCAGACGUUCAUAAUGUCCGGUGUUGCUUGAUACGUCUCCGUCGUAUCUACUUUUCCAAACACUUUUGUCCUUGUUUUGGACUCUAACUUGCAUGAUUUGAAUGGAACUAACCCGGACUGACGCUGUUUUCAGCAGAAUUACCAUGGUGUUAUUUAUGUGUAGAAAUAAAAGUUCUCGGAAUGACCUGAAACUUCAGGGAACGUCUUUUUGGAAAUAAUAAAAAAUCCUUGCAAAAGAUGAAGACCAGGGGGCCCACACCCUAGCCACGAGGGUGGGGGCGCGCCUGCCCCCCUAGGCGCGACCCCUACCUUGUGGGCCCCCUGGAGCUCCUCCGACCUCAACUCCAACUCUAUAUAUUUGCUUUCAGGGAGAAAAAAAUUAGAGAGAAGGAUUCAUCGCGUUUUACAAUACAGAGCCGCCGCCAAGCCCUAAAACCUCUCAGGAGGGCUGAUCUGGAGUCCGUUCGGGGCUCCGGAGAGGGGAAUCCGUCGCCAUCGUCAUCAUCAACCUUCCUCCAUCACCAAUUUCAUGAUGCUCACCGCCGUGCGUGAGUAAUUCCAUCAUAGGCUUGCUGGACGGUGAUGGGUUGGAUGAUAUUUAUCAUGUAAUCGAGUUAGUUUUGUUAGGGUUUGAUCCCUAGUAUCCACUAUGUUGUGAGAUUGAUGUUGCUAUGACUUUGCUAUGCUUAAUGCUUGUCACUAGGGCCCGAGUGCCAUGAUUUCAGAUCUGAACCUAUUAUGUUUUCAUCAAUAUAUGAGUGUUCUUGAUCCUAUCUUGCAAGUCUAUAGUCACCUACUAUGUGUUAUGAUCUGGCAACCCCGAGGUGACAAUAAUAGGGACCACUCCCGGUGAUGACCGUAGUUUGAGGAGUUCAUGUAUUCAUUAUGUGUUAAUGCUUUGGUCUGGUACUCUAUUAAAAGGAGGCCUUAAUAUCCCUUAGUUUCCGCUAGGACCCCGCUGCCACGGGAGGGUAGGACAAAAGAUGUCAUGCAAGUUCUUUUCCAUAAGCACGUAUGACUAUAUUCGAAAUACAUGCCUACAUUACAUUGAUGAAUUGGAGCUAGUUUUGUGUCACCCUAGGUUAUGACUGUUACAUGAUGAACCGCAUCCGGCGUAAUUCUCUAUCACCGAUCCAUUGCCUACGAGCUUUCCAUAUAUUGUUCUUCACUUAUUUACUUUUCCGUUGCUAUUGCUAUCAUCACUACAAAAUACCAAAAACAUUAAUUUUGCUAUCGUUACCUUUUGCUACCGUUACCACUACUAUCAUAUUACGUUGCUACUAAACACUUUACUACAGAUAUUAAGUUUCUAGGUGUGGUUGAAUUGACAACUCAACUUUCAACUGCUAAUACUUGAUAAUAUUCUUUGGCUCCCCUUGUGUCGAAUCAAUAAAUUUGGGUUGAAUACUCUACCCUCGAAAACUGUUGCGAUCCCCUAUACUUGUGGGUUAUCAAGACUAUUUUCUGGCGUCGUUGCCGGGGAGCAUAGCUCUAUUCUUUGAGUCACUUGGGAUUUAUAUCUGUUUAUCAUUAUGAAGAACUUGAGAGAUCCAAAAACCAAGAUUUAUCUCUCAACUACGAGGGGAGGUAAGGAACUGCCAUCUAGCUCUGCACUUGAUUCACCUUCUAUUUUGAGUAAGCUUGCGACACCUAAACCUGCUUCUGCUAUUCAUUCUGAUAUGUCGCAUGUUAUUAAUGAUGCCACUUGUGCUAUGCAUGAUACUUAUGAUGAAACUACUUCUAUGCUUGAUACUACUGUGCCACUUGGUGAAUUUCUUGAUGAACAACUUGCUAGGGUUAGAGAGAAUGAAAUUAUUGAAACUGAUAAUAUAUAUAUAUAUAUUUGAAUAUAUACUGUAGGGUAAAACCCCCACAGCCCUUUAUUGCAGUCUCAAAAAACAAACUGUACAGUGAAAGAAAGAGAUGACAAGCCUAAACGAAAAGUUAAGAAGAACUUACAAUUACAUGAGGGAGUUAACUCAAUCUACAAGCCUAGACUUAGAGCUAUCCUUAAACCUAUGUGACAGGAGAAGAAUGUCAUGUACAAAACUGCCCCUCCAGGCAACAAAAGUAGCCCGUAGUCCCCUGAAAGUUCUUCCAUUUCUCAGAAUCCAUAUAUUCCAAGCAGCUGUGAGCAUAACUUCAAAGAAGAAAGGAUACCCAAAUCGCUGCCUUGCUUGAGAUAUACAUUGCUGAAUAGAAGAACCAUGUGACCAAUCGAUCUGCAGGUAUUUCCAAACCCUGGCACUGAAAUUACAACCAAAGAAUAGGUGAGCCCUGUCCUCCCAAACAAAGGCAUUACAGAUGACACAUAGAUGAUCAGCCGUAGGGGACCUCCGGUGGCUGCGGACCAGCACGUCCUUUGUGUUGAGUCUGUCAAAGAAUAGGAGCCAGCCAAAAACCUUAAUUUUCAUAGUACAUAUGCUCUGCCAAAGCCACCUGCAGGGUUUAAUAGUUGGGAGGUGUGUAUGCAUGAUGUCAUAGAAGCUCUUUGCAGAAAACUGUCCAGAUUUACCAGGCCAAAUCCAAACAUCAGGCAAUGUUGGAUCUCUCUGGAGAUUGAACAUCCUUCCUUCCAAGGAUUCCAAUUCUGCUGCUGCCUGCUGAGAAAUUGGCAGAUGAAACAUUGAGAACAAAUCCUGGGUUUGCAAAAACUCCCUGACAGAAACCUUAUCAUCCAAAACAAAAGAGAAAAGCCUUGGUAAUCUGAGGCUUAGUGGCCUUGAAGAGCCACCUACAUGGCAAGCAUCCAGCCAAAAGAGAGCAGAAUCACCCAUAUUAACUGGCACUGAAGCAAUUGACCUAUAAGUGUCAGCAAGCUUGAGAAUGUCCUUCCACCAAAAGGAGCCAGUUAGGACUGUUGCAUGGGGCACCACUCCAUCAUAAUAACUAUCCCAAAUCAACUGGACCCAAGGAAUCUGCUGUUUGUUGUAGAACUUAUGCAUUUGUUUGAGAAGCAGACCUUGAUUUUGAACAUUGAGGUUGAGAAUGCCAAGUCCUCCCUUAUCCUUUGGUCUGCAAACUAAAUCACAGGCAGCUAGGGAUUGCUUAGGCACAUCAGAAUUUCCUCUCCACAAACACUGCCUGAAAAUCCUAUCCAACUGUUUGAUAAUACCAGGUGGGAUAUGCAAGCUGCAGAGGAAGUAUAUGGGCAUUGAAGUAAGCACAGAUGUGAGAAAUUGUAACCUGGAUCCUUGGUUGAGCAUGGCAGAGCUAACAGACAGUCUUCUUUCAAGACUAUCCACUAAAGGCAUGAAAUCAAUGAUUCUAGGUCUUGUUGUACCAAGAGGCAAACCCAGAUAUGUGAAAGGUAACUGCUCCGGUUUACAUCCCAGGAUGGAAGACAACCUCUGUGCCUCUGUGGGAUCAACAUUUAGUGGCACCAUUGAAGACUUUCCAAAAUUUACCUUUAGGCCAGUAGACUGUUGGAAAAUAUGGAGCAUGUUCUUGAGAGCCACCAACUGGUCCUGUACUGCAGAAAGGAUAAUUAUUGUGUCAUCUGCAUACUGAAUGAUAGGAAAUUCAGGGUCCUAAGAUGGGAUUGGAAGUGUUAGAACUCCCUUAGCCAGCAUGUUAUUGACCAUUGUUUGAAGAAGAUCGGCAGCUAUGACAAAUAAAAGAGGGGAUAGGGGAUCCCCCUGCCUGACCCCACAUUUAUAUUUGAACUGUUUGCCAGGCACCCCAUUAAGCAAAACAGAUGAUGAUCCUGAGGAGAGAAUCUCUUUAAUCCAAGAAAUCCAUUUGGCAUCAAAACCUUUGUGCUGUAGAACUUGCAAGAUGAAGUCAUGCUCCACAGUGUCAAAAGCUUUGGCAAAAUCCAAUUUCAAAAUGAUGGUUGGCCUUUUGGAUUGAUUGCAUUGAUGUAUAUAUUCAAAAGCCCAAGCCAGGCAGUCCUGAAUGGCUCUGCUCUUCAAAAACCCAUAUUGAUUCUUAUGGAUGCAUUGCAGAAUGACCUUUUGAAGCCUAUUUCCCAAAAGCUUAGUAAGGAACUUGAGGCAUGUGUUAGUAAGAGAGAUUGGUCUAAAAUCCUCAAGUCCUUCAGGAGACAACAUCUUUGGAAUUAAGGUGAUAAGGGAUCCAUUAAUAUUUUCCAAAGAUAGCCUCCCAUCAUAAAACCCCUGAAUGAGAGCCAAGAAAUCCUUCUCAAUGAUGGGCCAACACUUCUUAACAAAAAGACCAUUAAAACCGUGAAAGUGAUGAUGAAGAUUCUCCCCCUAAUAAAUAUGAAUUGCCUGUUGUGCCUGAGGGCUAUGUUAUGGAUGAAGAAAUUGCUAAAGCUAUUUUUGUUUGCAAAGAUAGAUAUGAUCUUAAGAAGUUAUUAGCUAAAUGGAAGCAGCAAUCUCUUAAUGCUAGAAUGAAACCUGACCCUGCUUUUGCUACUUCACCUAUCUGUGUUACUGAUAAGGAUUAUGAAUUCUCUGUUGAUCCUGAUAUAAUUACUUUGGUUGAAUCUGAUCCUUUUCAUGGCUAUGAGUCUAAAACUGUUGUGGCACAUCUUACUAAAUUAAAUGAUAUAGCCACCCUAUUCACUAAUGAUGAGAGAACUCGUUACUUUUAUAUCCUUAAAAUAUUCCUGUUCUCAUUAAAGGGUGAUGCUAAGAUAUGGUUUAAUUCUCUUGAUCCUGGUUGUGUGCGUAGUCCCCAGGAUAUGAUUUAUUACUUCUCUGCUAAAUAUUUCACUGCUCAUAAGAAACAAGCUGCUUUGAGGGAUAUAUAUAAUUUUGUGCAAAUUGAAGAAGAGAGUCUCCCACAAGCUUGGGGGAGGCUUCUCCAAUUACUUAAUGCUUUGCCUGAUCAUCCUCUUAAGAAAAAUGAAAUAUUGGAUAUAUUUUAUAAUGGACUAAGUGAUGCUUCCAGAGAUUACCUGGAUAGUUGUGUUGGUUCUGUUUUCAAGGAAAGAACACCGGAUGAAGCUGAAAUUCUAUUGAAUAAUAUGUUGACAAAAGAAAAUAAUUGGACACUUCCUGAGCCAGCUCCUGAGCCUAUUCCUAAACCAACUCCGAAGAAGAGGGGUAUUCUAUUUCUCAGUCCUGAAGAUAUGCAAGAGGCAAAGAAAUCCAUGAAAGAAAAGGGUAUUAAAGCUGAAGAUGUUAAGAAUUUACCUCCUAUUGAAGAAAUACACGGUCUUAAUUUACCGCCUGUUGAAGAAACAUAUGAUCUUAAUCCAUUACCUAUUGAAGAAAUACAUGGUCUUGAUAACCCGACACAAGUAGUAAAGGUAAACUCUCUCUAUAGAUAUGAUAAAAUUGAAAUCCCUCUUACUAAGUUUGCUAGCCAAUGCUUAGAUGAGUUUGAUAAUUUUAUGGUGAAGCAAGAAGAUUUUAAUUCUUAUUUUGGUAGACAAUUGAAAUACAAUUCAAAUAUGCUUGAACACUUGGGUGAUUAUAUGGCUAAUGUUAAAGGUGAAAUUAAACUUAUUAGCAAACAUGCUUCUAUGGUUACCACUCAAGUAGAACAAGUACUUAAAGCUCAAAAUGAUUUGCUCAAUGAACUGAAUAGUAAGAAUAAUGAUAAUGCUGUUAGAGUUAUGACUAGAGGUGGUAAAAUGACUCAAGAACCUUUGUAUCCUGAAGGCCAUCAUAAGAGAAUUGAGCAAGAUUCUCGGAGAAAUAAUAUAGAUGCACCUAGUUCUUCUAAAAGGAAGAAAAAGAAAAAUGAUAGGACUUUGCAUGCUUCUAGUGAACCUAUUGAUGAAACACCUGAGAAUCCAAAUGAUAUUUCUAUUUCUGAUGCUGAAACACAAUCUGGUAAUGAACCUGAAACUAGUGAUAAUAUUAAUGAUAAUGUUCAUGUUGAUGCUCAACCUAGCAAUGAUAAUGAUAUAGAAAUUGAACCUGUUGUUGAUCUUGAUAACCCACAAUCAAAGAAUCAACGUUAUGAUAAGAGAGACUUUGUUGCUAGGAAACAUGGUAAGGAAAGAGAGCCUUGGGUUCAGAAACCCAUGCCUUUUCCUCCCAAACCAUCCAAGAAAAAGGAUGAUGAGGAUUUUGAGCACUUUGCUGAAAUGAUUAGACCUACCUUUUUGCGUAUGCGAUUAACUGAUAUGCUUAAAAUGAAUCCUUAUGCUAAGUACAUGAAAGAAAUUGUUACUAAUAAAAGAAAGAUACCGGAAGCUGAAAUUUCCACCAUGCUUGCUAAUUAUACUUUUAAAGGUGGAAUACCUAAGAAACUAGGAGAUCCCGGAGUACCAACUAUACCAUGCUCCAUUAAAAGAAAUUAUGUUAAAAUUGCUUUAUGUGAUCUUGGAGUCGGUGUUAGUGUUAUGCCUCUCUCUUUAUAUCAUAGACUUGAUUUGAAUAAGUUGACACCUACUAAAAUAUCUUUGCAAAUGGCUGAUAAAUCAACUGCUAUACCUAUCGGUAUUUGUGAGGAUGUGCCUGCUGUGGUUGCAAACGUUACUAUUUUAAUGGACUUUGUUAUUCUUGAUAUUCCCGAGGACGAUAGUAUGUCUAUUAUUCUUGGAAGACCCUUUUUGAAUACUGCAGGGGCUGUUAUUGAUUGCAACAAAGGCAAUGUCACUUUUCAUGUUAAUGGUAAUGAGCAUACGGUACACUUUCCGAGGAAACAACCUCAAGUCCACAGUAUCAAUUCUAUUGGAAAAAUUCAAUCGAUUAUUUUUGAAGGUUUUGAAUUUCCUCUUCCUACUGUCAAAAGAAAUAUGAUAUUCUUAUUAUUGGGGAUGUGCAUAUCCCCGUUGAGGUAACAUAGUGUUAUUCGAAAUUCCUCCGGUUCCAUGUUAUUCGGAAUGAGUUUGCUAACAAGACUUGAUCAACCAUGUUAACGGAUUCCUUUUGAUGAGCAUGAGAUGGAUGAAACUAGAAGGCACAACUCUCCGUACCCUCCUUUUACUUUCUGUUAUUUAUAUUAAAUAAAAUUAAAAGAAGUAUUUUCCGUCUGUUAUCUGAUUUAUCCGUGCAAUAUAAAAUACCCCGAAAAUAAAAGUUCUCCAAAUGCCUUGAAAUUUAAAUAUGAUUUUUUCUGGAAUAUUUGAGAAUAUUUGGCACUAAGAACACAACACAGGGGGCAUCCACCUGGCCACGAGAGUGGAGGGCGCGCCCUACCCCCCCUGUGCGUGCCCCUUGCCUCGUGGGCCCACGGUGGCCCUCCUCCACUUAUUCCUGCACCCACACACUCCUUCCUCCCAUAAACACGAUUAUCCAGUUCGAACCCAAGUCCAAGCUCAUUUUGCUGCUAUUUUCGAUCUCCUUGCUCAAAGCACCUCUCACAAAACUGCUUGGGGGGAUUGUUCCUUGGUAUGCGACUCCUCCAUUGGUCCAAUUAGUUUUUGUUCUAGUGCUUUAUUCAUUGCAAAUUUAUGUUGUCUAGGUGCCCAUGUUCCUGAGCUUGCAUGUCAAAUUUAUGUGGUUCCAACUAGUUUUGAUGCAUGAUAUAGGCUCUAGGCACUUGUAGGAGUUGUUGCUAUCAAUUUUGUUGAGCUUGGCUCACUUUUAUUUGAAGUUACUAAAAAUUUCAGAAUUUUUCAGAAAAUAAUGAAGAGAUUUUUGAGGGGCUCAUCAAGCCGAAGCUCGAAGGAAAAGCAAAAUGAAAAAGCAGAGAGGCCCGAAUAUAAUCUGCCUCGCACCGCAGAGGUUCGGCCGUGUGAAUGGCCUUCCAAUGAUUUCUUGAGAGCAGUCGGGAUUUAUGAUGAUUUUUAUGAAUUGGCUGAGAAUGUAGGCCUCACCGCCUUCCUCCAUGACCAACGCGAACAAUAUCUCUUACUCACCAAUAUCUUUGUGCAAAACUUUCAUUUCCAUGCUAGGAGCUCACCACCUACGGUGGAGUUUUAUUUGUAUGAUGAGCACAAGGAGAUGUCACUUUACGAUUUCUGUCGGGUUUGAUUGAUCCCUUUCGAGGGCACAAUAGAGGAACCACACCGCGGUGAUGUGGAUGGGUUUAUAGAUACCAUCACUGUAGGGGAAACGAGGAAGGUUUCCGAUGCACGAAUCACUAGCAUACAUUUUCCUGUUUUACGCUACUUUGCAAUAUUUGCUAGUCGUUGCUUAAUUGGUCGCGAAAACUGUGGAAACCUUAGUGUUCCUGAUAUUAUUAUUUUGUUCCACGGUUUAUUCUGUGAUAAAUCUGUUAGUAUGGGCGGUAUUAUUGCUAAACGGUUAAGUCUCAACUGUACAAAGGGCCCCAUCUUUGGAGGCAUCUAUGCUUCACGCCUAACUGCGCAUUUUAACAUACCUAUUAAGCAUUAUGAGAAGGAAGAAAAAUUGCUGCCCCUGUUUAUUUAGAUUAUAAGAGUAUGGUGGCACACGAUUUUAUUGUUAAGAAUAGGAAAGGGGAGCUUAAAUACAAAUUGUUCUUUGAUAAACAUCAUCCUGAGACUAUUACCCUGCCUACUCCUUCCUUGUUUGAUUUAUCUCCAGGCAAGUACCUUGUUCCGUUAGAGGCUAUUCACGCCUACCGGAACAUUGCAUCAGCCACAGAGCCAGAGUCGGAACCACUAGUUGAUCCUCCACGACAGUCUAAUUACCAUUGGGAUCCAGAAAUGAUAGCCACCAGUGGAAAUCAGAGUCUUCUUCGCAGUACGACCCCAACUAUUACUAUGGAUAUCCGCCAGGCCAGCCGUGGCCAUAGACCAACUUAGGUCAAAAGCCUAAACUUGGGGGAGUACGUAUUUCCCGCCGACAUUACAUUCAUGUUCGCACACUCAUUGCUAGAUGUCGGUGCUCAUACUUUUUCAUUGUAUCAUCCAUGCUAGUUCAUUUCCUUUUUAAGCUUUCUUCUUGUGUGUUUAAUAAACCUUAAGAAAAACCAAAAAAACUAGUUGUAGCUUUUAGCUAGUUUUAAUUUCCAUGCUUGUAGUAGUAAUUAAAAAGAAAACCCAAAAAAAGAUUUCUUGUUCUUGUUUUGCUCGUUGGGAGCUUUCCCGUGUAAAUAGUUUUAUUUCUUUUCUUUGGGGGUCGAUAGGAGAAUACCAUGAUUAAAUUGUUGAAGUGGCUCUUAUAUAUAUUUUUUAUCUGACAAAAGAGCCCAUAUUGCCUUGUCUUCUCCAGUUUAUUGAAUGCUUGCAGAUUCCAGCUUAGUCCAAUGCACGCGCACUAUUAUUAUUAUCCACAUCGUUCGGUCGUGCAAGUGAAAGGCAAUUAUGACAAUAUAUGAUGGACUGACUGAGAUGAGAAAAGCUGGUAUAAACUCAACCUCUCUUGUUUUUGUAAAUAUGAUUAGUUCAUCGUUCCUGAUUCAGCCUAUUAUGAAUAAACAUGUUUGCAAUGACAACUAGAGAUCAUAGUUUCUUGUGCCAUGCUUGAUUAGCUAGGAGCUUAUAAUGGUUUACCUUGCGUGCCAACAUGCUAUUAAAAUGGUUGUGAUGUGGUAUGAUAGGGUGGUAUCCUCCUCUGAAUGAUUUGAGUGGCUUGACUUGGCACAUGCUCACGCAUGUAGUUGAAAUAAAAUCAACAUAUCCUCUACGAUAUUUAUGUUCAUGGGGAAUUAUAUCCUACUCAUGCUUGCAUUUGGUGUUGAUUAAUUUUAAUGCAUGUUUAUGAGUGUUGUCGCUCUCUAGCUGGUUGCUUCCCAGUCUUUUGCUAGCCUUCACCUGUACUAAGCGGGAAUACUGCUUGUGCAUCCAAUCCCAUAAACCCCAAAGUUAUUCCAUAUGAGUCCACCAUACCUACCUAUUUACGGUAUCUACCUGCCGUUCCAAGUAAAUUUGUAUGUGCCAAACUCUAAACCUUCAAAUAAAUAUCAUGUUUUGUAUGCUCGAAUAGCUCAUGUAUCAACUAGGGCUGUCUGUAUCUUCCAUGUUAGGCGGGUUAUUCUCAAGAGGAGUGGACUCCGCUCCUCACUCACGAGAAAAUGGCUGGUCACCGGGAUGCCCAGUCCCAUGCUUUAUGCAAAUCAAAUCAAAAUAAUUGCAAACAAAACUCUCCCUAGGACUCUUGUUAGUUGGAGGCACUCGUUGUUUUGAGCAAGCCAUGGAUUGAUGCUUGUUAGUGGAAGGGGAGUAUAAACUUUACCAUUCUGUUUGGGAACCGCCUAUAAUGUGUGUAGCAUAGAAUAUAUCGCCCUCUCUUGGUUGUUAUGUUGACAAUGAAAGUAUACUGCUCAAAAUAUUAUUCACCUCUAUUUCAAAACCGAGCUCUGGCACCUCUACAAAUCCCUGCUUCCCUCUGCGAAGGGCCUAUCUAUUUACUUUUAUGUUGACUCAUCAUCCUCUUAUUAAAAAUCACAAGUUGGAGAGCACCGCUGUCAUUUGCAUUCAUUACUGUUAGUUUACAUUGAGUAUGACUGGACUGGAUCUCUUUUACCAUGAAUUACAAUGUCUAGUCAGUCCUUGAUCUUUAAAGGUGCUCUGCAUUUAUGUUUUGCGGUCUCAGAAAGGGCUAGCGAGAUACCAUCUUGUUAUAUCAUAUCAUGAUUGUUUUGAGAAAGUGUUGUCAUCUGAGAUUUAUUAUAUUGCUCGCUAGUUGAUUAUGCCAUUGAUAUGAGUAAACAUGAGACCUAAAUGUUAUUGUGAAUAUGGUUAGUUCAUAAUCUUUGCUGAAAACUUGAAUGCUGGCUCUACAUAUUUACAACAACAAGAGCAAACAGAGUUUGUAAAAGUUUUUCUUUAUCACUUUCAGCUUAUCAACUGAACUGCUUGAGGACAAGCAAAGGUUUAAGCUUUGGGCAGUUGAUACGUCUUCGUCGUAUCUACUUUUCCAAACACUUUUGCCCUUGUUUUGGACUCUAACUUGCAUGAUUUGAAUGGAACUAGCCCGGACUUACGCUGUUUUCAGCAGAAUUGCCAUGGUGUUAUUUUUGUGCAGAUAUAAAAGUUCUCGGAAUGACCCGAAAAUCAACGGAGAAUUAUUUUGGAAUACAUAAAUAAUACUGGAAGGAAGAUCCACGUCAGGGGGGCCUCCACCUGUCCACGAGGGUGGGGGCGCGCCCUACCCCCCUGGUGCUACCUCUUGAGCACUGCGUUGGUUUUCCCUUGAAGAGGAAAGGGUGAUGCAGUAAAGUAGCGUAAGUAUUCCCCUCAGUUUUUGAGAACCAAGGUAUCAAUCCAGUAGGAGAUCACGCUCGAGUCCCACGCACCUACACAACCAAAUAAGAACCUCGCAACCAACGCGAUAAAGGGGUUGUCAAUCCCUUCACGGUCACUUACGAGAGUGAGAUCUGAUAGAUAUGGUAAGAUAAUAUUUUGGUAUUUUUAUGAUAAAGAGAAAUAAAGAUGCAAAGAAAAAUAAACGGCAAUAGAAAUAACUAAGUAUCACCUGGGCGCACCCCCUGCCUCGUGGGCCCCCUGACGCUCCACCAACCUCAACCCUGACUUCAUAUAUUCACUUUCGGGGAGAAAAAACCAGAGAGAAAGAUUCAUCACAUUUUACGAUACGGAGCCGCCGCCAAGCCCUAAACUCUCUCGGGAGGGCUGAUCUGGAGUCCGUUCGGGGCUCCGAAGAGGGGAAUCCAUCGCCAUCAUCAUCAUCAACCUUCCUCCAUCACCAAUUUCAUGAUGCUCACCGUCGUGCGUGCAUAAUUCCAUCGUAGGCUUGCUGGACGGUGAUGGGUUGGAUGAGAUUUAUCAUGUAAUCGAGUUAGUUUUGUUAGGGUUUGAUCCCUAGUAUCCACUAUGUUCUGAGAUUGAUGUUGCUAUGACUUUGCUAUGCUUAAUGCUUGUCACUAGGGCCCGAGUGCCAUGAUUUCAGAUCUGAACCUAUUAUGUUAUCAUCAAUAUAUGAGCGUUCUUGAUCCUAUCUUGCAAGUCUAUAGUCACCUACUAUGUGUUAUGAUCCGGCAACCCCGAAGUGACAAUAAUCGGGACCACUCCUGGUGAUGACCGUAGUUUGAGGAGUUCAUGUAUUCACUAUGUGUUAAUGCUUUGGUCCGGUACUCUAUUAAAAGGAGGCCUUAAUAUCCCUUAGUUUCUGCUAGGACCCCGCUUCCACGGGAGGGUAGGACAAAAGAUGUCAUGCAAGUUCUUUUCCAUAAGCACGUAUGACUAUAUUCGGAAUACAUGCCUACAUUACAUUAAUGAAUUGGAGCUAGUUCUAUGUCACCCUAGGUUAUGAUUGUUACAUGAUGAACCGCAUCCGACAUAAUUCUCUAUCACUGAUCCAUUGCCUACGAGCUUUCCAUAUAUUGUUCUUCGCUUAUUUACUUUUCCAUUGCUAUUGCUAUCAUCACUACAAAAUACCAAAAACAUUACUUUUGCUAUCGUUACCUUUUGCUGCCGUUACCACUACUAUCAUAUUACUUUGCUACUAAACACUUUGCUGCAGAUAUUAAGUUUCCAGGUGUGGUUGAAUUGACAAGUCAGCUGCUAAUAGUUGAGAAUAUUCUUUGGCUCCCCUUGUGUUGAAUCAAUAAAUUUGGGUUGAAUACUCUACCCUUGAAAACUGUUGCGAUCCCCUAUACUUGUGGGUUAUCAUUGCUCCUGCAGCGGGUCUUGCACAUAGCGGUGCUUCCAGGACGUAAUUCUUCUGUGUAGCAAUGAGGAUAAUCCUCAAGUUACGGACCUAGUCCAUGUAGUUGCUACCAUCAUCUUUCAACUUAGGUUUCUCUACGAACGCAUUAAAAUUCAAAGGGACAUUAGCACGGGCCAUUGAUCUACAACAACAUAGACAUGCAAACUACUAUCAGGUGCUAAGUUCAUGAUAAAUUAAAGUUCAAUUAAUCAUAUUACUUAAGAACUCCCACUUAGAUAGACAUCCCUCUAGUCAUCUAAAUGAUCACGUGAUCCAUAUCAACUAAACCAUGUCCGAUCAUCUCGUGAGAUGGAGUAGUUUCAAUGGUGAACAUCACUAUGUUGAUCAUAUCUACUAUAUGAUUCACGCUCGACCUUUCGGUCUCAGUGUUCCGAGGCCAUAUCUGCAUAUGCUAGGCUCGUCAAGUUUAACCCGAGUAUUCUGCGUGUGCAAAACUGGCUUGCACCCGUUGUAUGUGAACGUAGAGCUUAUCACACCCGGUUAUCACGUGGUGUCUCGGCACGACGAACUAUAGCAAUGGUGCAUACUCAGAGAGAACACUUGUACCUUGAAAUUUAGUGAGAGAUCAUCUUAUAAUGCUACCGCCGUACUAAGCAAAAUAAGAUGCAUAAAGGAUAAACAUCACAUGCAAUCAAAAUAAGUGAUAUGAUAUGGCCAUCAUCAUCUUGUGCCUUUGAUCUCCAUCUCCAAAGAACCGUUAUGAUCACCAUCAUCACCGGCUUGACACCUUGAUCUCCAUCGUAGCAUCGUUGUCAUCUCGCCAACUAUUGCUUCUACGACUAUCGCUACCACUUAGUGAUAACGUAAAGCAAUUACAUGGCGAUUGCAUUUCAUACAAUAAAGCGACAACCAUAAGGCUCCUGCCAGUUGCCGAUAACUUUUACAAAACAUGAUCAUCUCAUACAACAACUUAUAUAUCAUCACGCAAAAACAAGUUAGACGUCCUCUACUUUGUUGUUGCAAGUUUUACGUGGCUGCUACAGGCUUCUAGCAAGAACCGUUCUUAUCUACGCAUCAAAACCACAAUGAUUUUUCAUCAAGUGUGUUGUUUUAACCUUCAACAAGGACCGGGCGUAGUCAAACUCGAUUCAACUAAAGUUGGAGAAACAGACACCCAGUAGCCACCUGUGUGUGAAGCACCUCGAUGGAACCAGUCUCAUGAACGCGGUCAUGUAAUGUCGGCCUGAGCUGCUUCAUCCAACAAUACCGCCAAAUCAAAGUAAGACGUUGCUGGUAAGAAGUAUGACUAUUAUCGUCCACAACUCAUUGUGUUCUACUCGUGCAUAUAACAUCUACGCAUAGACCUGGCUCGGAUGUCAUUGUUGGGGAACGUAGUAUUUCAAAAAAAAUCAUACGAUCACGCAAGAUAUAUCUAGGAGAAGCAUAGCAAUGAGCGGGGAGAGUGUGUUCACGUACCCUCGUAGACCGAAAGCGGAAGCGUUUAGUAACACGGUUGAUGUAGUCGAACGUCUUUGCGAUCCAAUCGAUCCAAACACCAAACGUACGACACCUCCGCGUUCAGCACACGUUCAGCUUGAUGACAUCCCUCGAGCUCUUGAUCCAGUUGAGGCCGAGGGAUAGUUCCGUCAGCACGAUGGCGUGGCGACGGUGAUGAUGAAGUUACCGGCGCAGGGCUUCGCCUAAGAACUACGACGAUAUGACCGAGGUGUGUAACUGUGGAGGGGGGCAACGCCCACGGCUAAGAGAAACUUGUGUCUUUGGGGUGCCCCCCUCCCACGUAUAUAAAUGGGGGGAGGAGGCCGGCCCAAAGGGGGGCGCGCCACAUGUUGGGGGUCCUACUAGGACUCCCUAGUCCUAGUAGGAUUCCCCUCUCCUUUCCUUUUACGGAAGGGGGAAAGGGGGGAAGGAGAGGAGGGGAAGAGGGAAAGGGGGCACGCCCCCUCCCCUUCCUAUUCGGACUCCACUUGGGGGGACGCGCACGCCUCCCCCUUGUGGGUUGUACCCUCUUCUCUCCCAUGGCCCAUAAGGCCCAUGAUUUCCCCCGGGGGGUUCCGGUAACCUCCCGGUACUCCAGAAAAAUGCUCGAAUCACUCGGAAUCAUUCUGAUGUUUGAAUGCAACCUUCCAAUAUAUGAAUCUUUACCUCUCGACCAUUUCUGUGAUCUCAUCCGGGACUCCGGACAAACUUCAGUCAUCAAAUCACAUAACUCAUAAUACAAAUUGGCACGAACGUUAAGCAUGCGGACCCUAUGGGUUUGAGAACUAUGUAGACAUGACUGAGACACAUCUCCGGUCAUUAACCAAUAGCGGAACCUGGAUGCUCAUAUUGGCUCCUACAUAUUCUACGAAGAUCUUUAUCGGUCAAACCGCAUAACAACAUACGUAGUUCCCUUUGUCAUAUGUAUGUUAUUUGCCCGAGAUCCGAUCGUCGGUAUCCCCAUACCUAGUUCAAUCUCGUUACCGUCAAGUAUCUUUACUUGUUCCGUAAUGCAUCAUCAUGUAACUAACUCAUUAGUCACAUUGCUUGCAAGGCUUAUAGUGAUGUGCAUUACCGAGAGGGCUUAGAGAUACCUCUCUGAUACACGAAGUGGCAAAUCCUAAUCUCGAUCUAUGCCAACUCAACAAACACCAUCAGAGACACCUGUAGAGCAUCUUUAUAAUCACCCAGUUACAUUGUGACGUUUGAUAGCACACUAAGUGUUCCUCCGGUAUUCGGGAGUUGCAUAAUCUCAUAGUCAUAGGAACAUGUAUAAGUCAUAAAGAAAGCAAUAGCAAUAAAAUUAAACGAUCAUUAUGCUAAGAUAACGGAUGGGUCUUGUCCAUCACAUCAUUCUCUAAUGAUGUGAUCCCGUUCAUCAAAUGACAACACAUGUCUAUGGUUAGGAAACUUAACCAUCUUUGAUUAACGAGCUAGUCUAGUAGAGGCAUACUAGGGACACUCUGUUUGUCUAUGUAUUCACACAUGUACUAAGUUUCUGGUUAAUACAAUUCUAGCAUGAAUAACAAAGAUUUAUCAUGAUAUAAGGAAAUAUAAAUAACAACUUUAUUAUUGCCUCUAGGGCAUAUUUCCUUCAGGAAGAGCAUCGCGGGUGGGAGGGAGAAGGGGAAUUAAGAGAGUGUGGGUUUGGGUUUGGGCCUCCGCGUGCUAUGUGUACACAUGUGUUGGUGGGUCGAUAGUAGUGGUCCUGGGUUUAUACCCCACGCUACUACUAUGGCCUAUCCCGGGGGUACGGUAGAGACCGCUUAGUAGUAGCGAGGGAUUUAUACCCCUCACUACUACUAUCAACUUAGUAGUAGUGAGGGAUUUAUACCCCUCGCUACUACUAUCAACUUAGUAGUAGUGAGGGAUUUAUACCCCUCGAUACUACUAUGGCCAGUCCCGGGGGGCACGGUGGAGACCACUUAGUAGUAGUGUGGGGUUUAUACCCCUCGCUACUACUAUCAACUUAGUAGUAGUGUGGGUUCUAUACCCCUCGCUACCAAUAAUUAGCAGCAGUGUGGCCCAUAUACCCCUCGCUACGGUUAAGCAUCUAUCUAUAAAGUAUUUUCUAGUAGUGCAUCGAUGGCGGCGAAAUCAGUCGUUCUGCUUGUUUUCCCUACUAGCUCUCUGACGUCCAGAACAAGUUUACGGUCAUAAGGUGCAAUAACCUUGCCUUCAUGAGUGACACGAUGACACGGGAACAGGCUUCCAAGCCUAUGGUGUCGCAUCAUGUCGUGGUCUGCUAGACUUAGUGGACGAAUGCUACUACAAUAUCGGUUGAUCUCAUACUACAAUACCAAGGAAGACACGCAACUACUAUAUAUAUUUCUUCAAGUCAGUCAACACAAGUAAAAUCUGGGAGUUCAACUGGUGCAGCUAUGCAAUGCUAAUGGAGACAACACAAUUCAACUUUAGCACUUCACACAUAAGCAACACCACGUUCAAUGGCACACACCUUAGAGUGUACCUAUGGUGGUUGAUUGGGCUAUAAGAAAUGUGAGUCCAUGUGAAGAUGCCAAAUAUAAUAACACGGCUAAUUACACAUGCAGUGGCAGCAGCAACAAGUGCAUGAAUUCCACAAAUGAUCUAGGGUACACAUGCAACUGUGUCCUUGAGUAUGACAACAACCCUUAUCUUCUAGACAAAUGCAUGGUAUGCUACUAAUUUAUUUGCUAAAUAUUCCAAUGAAUUGUGUCCUUUACUUUGUACAUACCCAAUUAUAAUAUUUUAUUUUGCUAAUACAAUGUAGCCUUCAAUUUAAACCAAGGUUUGCAUCCAUUAAUUAUGUUAGGUUCAUAUGACUUCACUACAUAAAUAGGUAGAUAAUGCAUAAGACUGAGAUUGUAGCUAGGGAUGAAAAUCUAAAUACGGCAUGAAUCUAACAAUUAUGAGUAAUGUCUUUGUGACAAGAACUUUCUUUGUCUUUUAUUCCCAUGUUUGAACUAGUAUAGGUCAGGGUUACACAUUAUGGUGCACAUCACUUUAUUUGUCAUCGUUACAUUGAACACUCAUUGACUAAACAACGAUGAUCCAUCCGUCUUGUAUUACAGGUCUUCAUUUCAUUGGCCACCGAUGCUUGUAAGACUACUCCCAGAUGGUUGUUGUUGUGGAUAUGGUUGUUGAGGUUGGUGUGGUUGCUGGGGGAAUGGUUGUUGGGGUUGCUGGGAAAUUGUUUGUUCUAGUUGCUGGGAUAAUUGUUGUUGGGGCUGCAGAAAUGGUUGUUGUGGUUGUUGUGGUUGCAGGAUGGAGGGUUGCUGGGAAAAUGGUUGUUGCGGUCGUAGGGGGAAUGGUUGUUGUGGUUGUAGAGGGAAAGGUUGUUGUGGUUGUUGAGGGAAUGGUUGUUGUGGUUGUUGGGGGAAUGAUUGUUGUGGUUGCAGGGGGAAUGGUUGUUGUGGUUGCUGGGGGAANNNNNNNNNNNNNNNNNNNNNNNNNNNNNNNNNNNNNNNNNNNNNNNNNNNNNNNNNNNNNNNNNNNNNNNNNNNNNNNNNNNNNNNNNNNNNNNNNNNNNNNNNNNNNNNNNNNNNNNNNNNNNNNNNNNNNNNNNNNNNNNNNNNNNNNNNNNNNNNNNNNNNNNNNNNNNNNNNNNNNNNNNNNNNNNNNNNNNNNNNNNNNNNNNNNNNNNNNNNNNNNNNNNNNNNNNNNNNNNNNNNNNNNNNNNNNNNNNNNNNNNNNNNNNNNNNNNNNNNNNNNNNNNNNNNNNNNNNNNNNNNNNNNNNNNNNNNNNNNNNNNNNNNNNNNNNNNNNNNNNNNNNNNNNNNNNNNNNNNNNNNNNNNNNNNNNNNNNNNNNNNNNNNNNNNNNNNNNNNNNNNNNNNNNNNNNNNNNNNUGGUUGCAGAGGGAACGAUUGUUGGGUCUGGGGAAAUGGUUGUUGUGGUUGCCAGGAAAAUGGUUGUUGGGGCUGUGGAAAAGGUUGUUGUGGUUGUUGGGGUUGCUGGGGGAAUGGUUGUUGUGGUUGUAAGGGGGUCGGUUGUUGGGGUUGGGGAAAUAAUUGUUGUGAUUGCUGGGGAAAUUGUUGUUGGGGUGUGGAAAAUGGUUGUUGUGAUGGAUAUGGUUGCUGUGAUGGAUAUGGUUGUUGUGGAUAUGGCUGUUGUGGAAAUAGUUUUUGUUGAUGGGAAAAUGAUUGUUGAGGUGAUUGUAACUCUUUGUUGUUAGGGUUUAGUUGCCUAGCGGCAAUGGCGGUGUUCAUCGCCAUGGCAAGGAGGACAAAGAUGAGGAAGGUCUUCAUGUUGGAUUUGUGGUUACUACUGCUUGCUUGCCUUUGAUGCUUGUGGUCUAGGUGUGUGAAGUUUUGUUGAUGGAAGGUGUCCUUGGUGGUGCAUGUGUAUUUAUAGUUUUCAUGGCAUGGCUUGCUUUCAUCUUUGCACUCGCUCUUUGAAAAAGUGCAUCAAUGCUUAUCCAACUAAUCAUUUGGUUUGUUGUGUUUGGUGCAACUACUUACUAGUGAGAUUUUGGAUUUUCAUGAUAGUUGUUUUUUGUUGAAAUCAUCUGGUUGUAAGGAAUGUUGGAUAAUGACCAAUGACUCAUCUUCUUCACUUUACACUGCAAACAUUGAUCUAGAUUAUGUCCCUUUUUGAAAUUUAGUUUGUGGAGCUCUACAUGUUGUUAGGCUUAUCCAUAUUGGCAUAGCUUGAGUGGAGCUAAGUUUGUAAGCUUGUGUGCGCCAUUAUGAUGGAUCACACUAUUAAUGUGAUGAUUGUUUUACAAAUUAUCUUUCCAAAACUAACUUUAUGUUUUUUGCCCAAUAUGAUUCUAAGACGGAUAACCAGACAUGACUCAUCAAAUAACAAGAUAAACCGAGUAGCAAGUUGGGGGUUAUAAGUUAUAAUAUGGACUUUUCUCUAAGAUACACCAUCUUGUCUUGCAUGCUCUGUGGAUUUGAAAAGCAUCUACUAAUUUAGAUGCAAUUGAAACAAAAGUAGACUAAAAAGGUAAGCAAUGAAAUGAGAAUACUAUUAUGUGAAGCUCUACAUGUCUGGUAAGCAGUGAGAUACUGGAUACAUCUAUAUCUUCAAUCCUUUCAUCCCUAUCAACUCUUUAUUGGCUGCUUUUAUCGUAGUCAUCCCUUAAAUAAAAAUCACUUAAAUAUAAGUUUGGGAGUUAGUACCAACAUAUAUCAUGUACAAGAUAGAAAACUAAGGCACAUAUAGUAGUCUAUUGACCAUAUUUAAUUUCUUGUGAUGUGAAAGCAUGUGGAGUAUAAGUUGGUUAAAUAUAAAGUUGUCCUUCAUACCAGUAGGGAAAGAAUAUGCAGUAUAAAGAUUAGAGCAUUGGACUAAUAUGCUAUUAAAUGCUACAGGAUAAUUGACAGUUCAAGUUAAGAACAACAUUAGCAUUCCAACUUUUGUCUUGUGCAAGUUAAGAACAUGCUAACAAAGUAACCUAAGCAAAUAAGUGCAAAACCUUCACCUAUAAGGAAAUUGUGAAACUACACAAAAUGACCUAUUGUAAAGAAGGAAAAAAAUCUAAAGGUGAAUGAAAGAACGUUAAGUACAUUCAGGAUUCGAUUAUGCCUUCAUGGAUAACCUUUUAGAUGGUGACAUGUCCAUGUUGAUGUGUGUCGGCAUGGAACGAGGACAAGAAGACGUCGUUGCGUCGUACUUUGGGAAUUUCAUCAAACUGGUUGUGUGCGGGAACAAAUAUUUGUCGCCUCCCUGCUCAAAUCUCUCUUCAUGUCACUGAAUCCGACACUCCACCUACCAAAAUCAGCUGCAAGCCAGGGAUAAUCAACGGGUUUCUCCGCCCGUAGCAUCUAUCACCAAAAGUAGUUCAGACUAUAGUCUUGUAGUUCAAAAUUUUGUAAUAACAAGCACUACUAGGUUGCUUUUGUUUGUACGUCUUCAUUCUGUACAACCCAUGGAACUAAAAAUGCAUUGGUCAUUCUUUGUUCUAUACAACCAAUUCAACCAAAAAUGCAUUGGGCUUUUCUUUGUACAUCUUCGGGUUCUACAACCAAUGCAACAAAAAAUCCAUUGGGUAGUCUUCCAUUCUAGUCGGGCACCAACAGUUAAAUGAGGAGCUAAACAAUGUUGGAGUCUAAAACUACAUACAAUCAUGAAGCAUAGAGAGGCGACUUGGAAGCUGUGCUCCUGUGAGCUCGUAUUUUUGUAGACAAAAAGUAAUGUUUGUAUUUUGAAGUGGGAAAAAAUCCUAAAAAGGGAUGUUUUGCGGGUUAUAACUUACUAUUUUUGGGUCCUGGGCUGCAGGAAGGUCGUCAAAAUCAAUGUGUUUUCCCAUUCAAUGCAUGUUUCUUGGGUUAUAGGUCACGCUUUUGGUGUCCUAGGGAGAUCACUUCCCCGGUCAAGAACAUUAGGUGAUGAUUUUUAGAAAAACUCAUUGUUUUAGCCUAACUAGUUUCGAGGAUUGGUGGACGGGAUUAUCAUGGAACAAAGUGACAACCUUCCUUUUCUUCAUGCCUAAUAUAAACUUAGCAGUCAGCUAAAAGUAACUAGCGAUAUCACAGAAUGUUUUUUGUCAAAAGUAGAUACCACUUCAGGAUUCAACUCGGUUAGUUCAAUCACAGACAUGUUAAGAGCAGGAUUUACAACUAACUGCAUAGGGAACAUCUCCUUUUAUCACCCACUAUCUGUCUGUGCACUUUGGUUUUCCCGUAGCAUCACACAAAGCACUUUGUUAGUACCAAUAAUGUGCUCCAACUCUACACAUUAAUCAUCUUGAAUUCUUCUACUGAUGUCGAACAAUGUAAUAUCUUGAAUUCUUCUAACGAGUUCGGAUUAGACUACAUGGGCAAUUUAUCUGGUCCCUGAGAUGCAAGGUCGAUGAACAAUCGCUUCGUCUUAUGACGAGGGGUUGUUUUUGCCUAAGAAACUAAUACAUGUAACUUCGACACCGGAUUAAUAAAUGGUAAAACCUAAAUAAAUUAGAUCACGAGCUAAACCAUUUACUUUUGUAUGCAUUUAAACUUUUGAUACAUAUGAGCUUGUUAAGAUGUUCGCAUAAACACCAUGGUGAUUUGAAGCAAGACAAAGUAAACUUGAACCGCUUGAGCCACUGACUUAAUAAGAACCUCCUUUCCCGCGGCAGAGAUUGUUUUUAAUACAUCCACUCACUUUGGCCCAUAGUUUGUCUUUGAGAUACUUAAAAGCACUAGACAUAGAAUUGACAAUAUUAGAAGGCAAGCCCAAAUAUUUCACAUUUAGUGUUUCUACUUGGACACUGAGACCACCUUUGACCUCAUUUUUGACAUUCUCUCUGCAAUCCUUGCUGAGAAACACUGAAGGCUUCCUAUUUAUUUAUUCUUGACCUAAAGCUUCAUUGCGUCUUGCCUUGGUCUUGCACUACUUGCGGCACAAUACGCCUUUGGAACUGCCGUUCCGAAUUCAGAGUGCCGAAGGUGGUGUGACGAUGUUGAGAUACCGUACUCGUUCGGUAGUGAUUCGGGUUGAUCAUUCAGAGUAGACUUUGACAAUAGCUGCAAGGACAAGAUUGCAUUAGGGAGCCUUUUAAUUACACCUCGGAGGUGCUCAGCAUCUUCUUGAUGAACAACAUGGUCCUAGUGUUGAAUAAUAUCAUAUGGGGUAGUGCUACAACAACUCCACCACAAGCAUGGAGGAAUUUAGCAAAUUCCAUCAGUACUAGGAGAAAGCCUAGUAGCAACGCGAGGUAAAGGACUACUAGUAGCGCGGGUGCCCACGCUACUACUAGGGUGCUACAGCUAAUUGGUAGUAGUAGCGUGGGUGACACCCUGCGCUACUACCACGUCUGUUAGUAUAGUAGCGCGAGUGUCACCCGCACUACUACUAGUUAUCUGUAGCCCGGGUCUGACCCCACGCUACUACUAACUAAUUAGGAAUUAAAAAAAUAAAUUCCAUCCAUGGUUGCUGCUGCUGGGCGUCAUCGUCCUCUCCGUCCAUGGCUGAUGUUGGUCCUGGAGGGGAUGACGUCGUCCAUGGUGAUGGUACUUCCUCACCCAAAUCGUCCCCACACCUCUCCUAUGCUACUGCUACAAAAUAAGAGAAAACGAUUAGAAGAGGAAGAGAGAUAUUGAGAGGAGUAGGAGGAGCAACUGACCGGUGGCCGCCGGAGUUGGAGCUGAUGCCCGAAACCCUAGACGAUGCCCGGUGACCUGUUGCUUCUUUUCCUGGGACCUCAUGUCCUCACAAGGCCAUGUCUCAGCGAGGAAGUGCAAGUGGUUGCGUAGCAGAUCUGUUCAUCGCCAUUGGUGGCGCUCUGUUGGAUCUUCCUCUCCUUCCAGCAUCGGAGAAGGAGGAGGAAGGAGGCGAAGGUGAGGCGUAAGUCAGUGGCCCAAAAUUUUUAUAUAGAUGAGACUUACUAAGUAAUAACCCCAUAGAAUCUAUCUAUAUAAAGAUAAAGAGGCAAUCGUGUCAGGAAGCGGGUUUUUCUUUGGCCAAAAGGUACUUAGAACUUGGAACGAGCAUGAAGAGAUUAACGAGACUUCUUUCUCUUUUGAGUUUUUCUGGCGGACCUGCCGCGCAAGAUCUUUGGUCUUCCCCUGGAACCGAUGAAAAAAAGUGGAUUGCUUCUUAUGUACUCGCUCAGCUUAAGAUGCUCGCAUAAUCCCCGUGGUAAUUUGAAGCAAUACAUAGAGUAAACUAGAACUGCUUGAGCCACUAACUUAAUGAGAACCUCCUUUCCCGUAGGAUAUAUCAUUUUUUCAAUCCAUCCAUUCACUUUGGCCCAUAGUAUGUCUUUGAGAUACUUAAAAGCAGUAGAUUAGAAUUACCAAUAUCAUAAGGCAAGCCCAAAUAUUUCUCAUUUAGUGUUUCUGUUGGACACUGAGAACACCUUUGACCUCAUAUCUAACAUUCUCUACACAACCCUUGCUGAGAAACACUGAAGACUUGCUAUUAUUUAUUCUUUGACCUGAAACUUGGCAAUAGGUUUGACACAUCUGUCGCCCCUGAACCAUUUGCCUUGAAAAACAGCAGGCUGUCAUCUGCAAAUAACAAGUGGUUAACUGAUGCCACCAAAGGAGCUACUUGGAUUCCAGUAAACUGGGAUGACUAGUCUCUAGAUUUGAGGAGGCCCGAAAGGCCAUGUACUGCUAACAGGAAAAUCAAGGUGAAUUGGAUCUUGCUGCCGUAUACCACGGGUAGGUUUGAGCUCAUCAAGUUUCUUGCUCUUGAAUAAAAUUGAAUAAGAUACAGAAGCUACCAUGCUCAUUUCUAUGGAGGCCCAUUUAACAGAGAAUCCAAAGUUGAGAUUUAUCACCUCCAAAUACGCCCAUUCAACUAGAUUAUAAGCCUUCAUCAUAUCCAAUUUUAGAGUACAAUGGUGAUGUUACAAUGACUUAUUCCUUUUCAUGAAAUGUAAGCACUCGUAGGCCACGAUUAUAUUGUCAGUGAUAAGGCGACCCGGAACAGAAGCCGACUCUUCACUCAAUAUUAUCUCCGGAAGGGCCCCUUUUAGCCGGUUAGCCAGAACUUUGGGUGUUAUUUGUAAAGUUGCAUAGGCUAAUACGACAGAACUGGCUUAGGAAAGUACCAUUUUGUACCUCAUCACUAUCCUCGCCACAAUACAAAGGACAACCAUUGUUACCUCCUCGCCGCAAAUAUCCCAAUGUUUCUCAAAGAAAUGUUCAAAGAAUCCGUCCGGGCCCAAGGCCUUCAUGCGGAACAUUUGAAACAAUACAAUUUAAACCUUGUUGUAGAAUACUUAGCGUCAAGGAAGGCAUUCAUCGCAUCACUGACCUUUACUGGAACCAAGUCAGGAAAUCAUGCAUAUUAGAAACAGUCUCAGAAGUGAAAAGCUCCGAGUAAAACUAUGUUGUGAUCUCUUCCAAUUCCUUAAGAACACUGAUAACAUCACAUUAGGUUGCUACAAUGAUUUGGUCAAAUUAUUCCGCCUUCUCAUCGAAGCCCUUAAGUGAAAGAAGCAUGUGGUCUUGUCCCCACUAAUCAGCCACUUAAUCUGAGAUCUAGUAGGCAAGAUGAGUGACGGGAAGUAGUUCGGAACAAUUUCCUCUUAUUCACUUCUAAAACAAAUUUUCGGUUUUUGUCGUUCCUAAGCCAAGGAUUUGAUAAAUAUUCAUAAAUUUUUAAAAUGUUCACCAAUAUUAAAAACAUCAUGAUUUUAAAAAACCGUGAUUUUUAAACAAAAUCAUAAAUAUGAAAAUUGCCAUUCACAAAAUUUUAAAAUAAAAUCAUGAAUUUUAAAAGAAUUUUCAAAAUUUUGAUAAAUAUCUACGAAUUUUACAACUUUGAUGAAUUUUAAAAACAAACCAUAACAAAAAAACACUAGCAAGUUCGAUCCUAAAAAAUGCCUUGCCUUCUACUAUGCGUAGCGUGCAUGGACAGCCGGACCUAGACACCCUAGACCAAAAACCCUACAUCUGGGCCAGGCCCGAGCUCCAUUUUUUGGCCCAAAGCCCAGCCCAAAAAGGCAGAAAUGGUAAGAAAUGUAUACUUUAUUCAAAAUAUAGGUAUAUUAUAUUGUUUUAGUAUCUCAAAUAAUUAUUUAAAUUGAAAAAUGUCGUUGUUCAUGUGUUUCUGGACGGGCCAAGCCAGGCUCAUGCUUGGGAUUUUUGCUUCGGGCUUUGACAACCUGGCCCGGGGUAUGAUCAAGUUCAGCAUGGCCCAGUCACACACCCUUGUACAACAUUUUGUUGUAGAGAGCGGCAAAUAUAAUUUUCCCGAUCUAAUAUUGCUCGCUAUAAGUCUAUAUCUAUACUUUUUUCUAUACCCAUACUAAUAAAGCAAGGUGCGUUUCCCCAAUUUUUUCAUUCAUUCACUGUCGAAAACAAUUAUGUUUCCUAUCCGAGGUGGUCCUAAAUUCUUAUGCGUUCAUCUGCUAAAAGAAAGGCUUUUCCGGAAUUUCUUACGUGGGUUGCGCGCUAUGGCCAGUGAAGUCAGCCCACUUAUUUUUCUGCCCAUGCAGCUCUAAAAAAUCUAUUUAACACACAGGGCAAGAAAUAGUCGGCACUUCAAACUGGAAAACAAAUAAUGGGCUAGCCAAUUUUUCUUUGUUUCUGUGUUUUAUUUCUAUUUUUAUUCUCCUUCCCCGAUUUCUUUUUUCACUUCCAAGUUUACAUUUCUUAUAGAAUUUAUUUUAUAAAUUCAAAAUUCUCAAAAAACAUAGAGAAUUUUAAAAAAAUGGAAAAUGUUCAUAACUCCAAUUUUUUUGCUAUUUAAAUUUUUUUCAGAACUUGAAUUUUUUCCCUUUUUCCGAAAAUUUUAUUGUUUUUUAAAAUUGUUAGAGAUUUCUAAAAAGAAAAUGGAAAUUUAAAAAGUCUUCCAAAUUCGAAAAAAAAUCAUGUUUUAGUGAAAUUUUCACAACUCAAAUUAUUCUUAAAAAAUACACAUUUUAAAAAGUAAGGAUUUUCAAUACAUGUUCCCGUUCUAAAAAAAUGUUGACAAAUUCAAAUAAUGUUCAUGUUUUUAUUUUAAAAGUUCGUGUUUUCAAAAAUGUUUGUAAAUUCUAAAAGAUGUUCCUAUUUCAUAUUUUGUUCAUGUUUUUCUGAAAGUGUACCUAAUUUUCAAAAAACUGUUCAGGAUUUAAAAAAUGGUUCAUGUUGCCUACAAUAUUGAGAAACUUCAUACCUUAAAAUCUCCUCGAUUGAAGGAACCAUAGAUUGAAUAAUUCAUGGGCCUUCUCUGGUGGACGAUGACGUAGCAAAACUCUUAAAUGCCCUCAAUCAAUGAAUGGAAAAAUAGCGAAUUGAGUACUUCACACCCAGCGAAACAAAGAAGCUAAAUGUUCCCUUUUUACGUGCGCACAGGGUUUUGCUUGCACAAAUAAUUCUCACUAACUUCCAAUGCAUACUAAUUUUUCUCCCAUUGCGAAGCACAAGCAUAUGUGCUAGUUUUAUCCACGGUGGUACUAAAUUUUUUUGAGUCCAUCUGCUAGAAAAAGGAAAAACAGUUUUGUCAAAAUUUUCGUACAUGGGCCGCGCGCGCUGUGGCCCAGCGAAGCUGGCCCAUUUAUUUCCGGCCGAAGCAGCUGAGAAUAAUUAUUUAACGCUUGGGGCGGCAAAUAGACAAAGUUUCGCAUAGGGCGCCAAAUAUUUGGUCGGCCCAUAUUUGUUUUCUCUCUAGUUUGUUUCUUUUUUUAUUUUCCUUUCUCCUUUUCUUAUCUCUUUACUUUUUCUUUUUUCCCUUUCAAGUUAAUUUUUCUUUUCUCCUUUUCCAUAAAUUAAAUUUUUCAAUAUUUCAGAAUUUUAGUUUUGGAUUAAAUUUUCGUAAAAUCUUCAUAAUUAUUUCUCCCCAUUUUGAAUUGUUUUUAAACUAUAAUUUUUUCUUCUUCUUCUUCCAAAAUUUAUUCAAAACUAUAGAAUAAAGUUCGCAUAUUAAUUUUUUUAUGCUUUCCAAAAUUGUUUGAUAUUUUCAAAAUAUAUUGCAUUAAAAAAUUAAAUAUUUAGAUUUUAUUGAAAUGUUAAUUCAAAGUAAUGUUUGUGUUUAAAAACAUGUUUUUCAAAAUUCUUUUCAAUGUCCAAAACACGUUUUCAUUUCCAAAAAAAAUCACGUAUUCAAAACAUGUUUGCUUUCUUAUAAUAGGUUCAUGUUUUCAAAAAACAUAAAUUUCAAAAAAAUUGUCACAUCUUAAAGAAUAUUCAAAAUAUCGUAAUUAUUACUUUAUUUUUUGAAAAAAAUCAAGAAAAACAGAAAAAAAAAUGUAUAUUAUGCUACAGUAUAUUCUUAAAAUUUCGCCCUCGCCAUUUGUUAGCAUGAGCUGUUUGUUCGAGUGGCUAGCAGCACGUGGUCGAGUUUUUGAGGUCAUGAGUUUGAUCCUUCAACUCAGUGGUUGUUUUGGAUUUUUAUUCACGCCUUACAAAUACAAGUCAUUUUGGUACCUGCCAGCGGCCUUGCCAGACUCGAACUGCCGUGCAUCCGACGUGCUAUUUGACGAUAAAAGAGAAUAUGUUGCUUGACUAUAAUUAAAAAAAUGUGGGCACAUGCCAAUAAAAGAGGAUAUGCUGGUUUGACUCUGAUUAAAAAAAUGUUGGCAAGUGAGCGUCGAAAUAAUUAAAGAGAAUAAACCCUGGUAAAGUAGGGACUACCUGGUUACGUGCUUAUUAUACCAAAGAAACGGGAUUUCCUGCAAUUAGUACUUCAACCGGUUACACCAUCAUAGGAGAGAGUAGUCGAAGCAACUAUGCCACGAAGGUCGCCGUGCUGCACAAAAUGAGGAGGCAACCGCAACCUAGACACGGAGGCAGACUCGGAGAAAAAAAAGCGCAAGUUGGGUGGUGGCCACCACUCCAGCAACCCCAUCAAUAUCAAGAACUCGUGGGCCAAACAUGAUCUCAAGAACAUCGCCGGGGAGACCUUUUGAUGGACACAUCAAUUAUCUCUCCUGAUACUUCUCGUUAAAAAUAUCUUUCUAGUUCUAACGCACGGGCAUAUGUGCUAGUGAUAUAUAAAAUAUGUUGUGCCAAUGAGCACACGGGCUAGCGAGACUCGCCAUGCUUUCAUGUCAUACCGGAGUCCAAACACUCAACUGGAGGGUCCAACCUUAGCGACAGAGUCUUCUUUUGUUGGGAGAAUCUAUAUAUCCGCGAGUGUUAUAUCUCGCAUCUGGUUUACGCGCAGUGCACCUAACCACUAGGCUUUGCCUUACAUUCAUGACAGAGUAGUAAAGCUAGAUUGUUUAAGUCCACACGAGUCAAGGUUUUCAAUGUUUCUUCUCCAUUUUUUUUCAUUUUUUCAUUUUUGUUUUUAUAUUUAUUUCUGUCGGGUUUGUUUGAUCCCUUUCGAGGGCAUAAUAGAGGAACCACACCGUGGUGAUGUGGAUGGGUUUAUAGAUACCAUCACUGUAGGGGAAACGAGGAAGGUUUUCGAUGCACGAAUCACUAGCAUACAUUUUCAUGUUUUACGCUAAUUUGCAAUAUUUGCUAGUCGUUGCUUAAUUGGUUGCGGAAACUGUGGAAACCUUAGUGUUCCUGAUAUUAUUAUUUUGUUCCACGGUUUAUUCUGUGAUAACUCUAUUAGUAUGGGCGGUAUUAUUCCUAAAUGGUUAAGUCUGAACUGUACAAAGGGCCCCAUCUUUGGAGGCAUCUAUGCUUCACACCUAGCUGCGCAUUUUAACAUAGCUAUUAGGCAUUAUGAGAAGGAAGAAAAAUUGCUACCCCCUGUUUAUUUAGAUUAUAAUAGUAUGGUGGCACAUGAUUUUAUUGUUAAGAAUAAGGAAGGGGAGCUUAAAUACAAAUUGUUCUUUGAUAAACAUCAUCCUGAGACUAUUACCCUGCCUGCUCCUUCCUUGUUUGAUUUAUCUGCAGGCAAGUACCUCGUUCCAUUAGAGGCUAUUCACGCCUACCGAAACCCUACAUCAGCCAUAGAGCCAGAGUCGGAACCACAAGUUGAUUCUCCAUGACAGUCUAAUUACCAUUGGGAUCCAGAAAUGAUUGCCACCAGUGGCAAUCAGAGUCUUCUUCGCAGUACGACCCCAACUAUUACUAUGGAUAUCCGCCAGGCCAGCCGUGGCCAUAGACCAACUUAGGUCAAAAGCCUAAACUUGGGGGAGUACGUAUUUCCCGCCGACAUUACAUUCAUGUUCGCACACUCAUUGCUAGAUGUCGGUGCUCAUACUUUUUCAUUGUAUCAUCCAUACUAGUUCAUUUCCUUUUUAAGCUUUCUUCUUGUGUGUUUAAUAAACCUUAAGAAAAACCAAAAACAUUAGUUGUAGCUUUUAGCUAGUUUUAAUUUCCAUGCUCGUAGUAGUAAUUAAAAAGAAAACCCAAAAAAAAGAUUUCAUGUUCUUCUUUUGCUUGUUGGGAGCUUUCCCGUGUAAAUAGUUUUAUUUCUUUUCUUUUCUUUGGGGGUCGAUAGGAGAAGACCAUGAUUAAAUUGUUGAAGUGGCUCUUAUAUGUAUUUUUGUUGAUCUGACAAAAGAGCCCAUAUUGCCUCGACUUCUCCUGUUUAUUGAAUGCUUGCAGAUUCCAGCUUAGUCCAAUGCACGUGCACUAUUAUUAUUAUCCACAUCAUUCGGUCGUGCAAGUGAAAGGCAAUUAUGACGAUAUAUGAUGGACUGACUGAGAUGAGAAAAGCUGGUAUGAACUCAACCUGUCUUGUUUUUGUAAAUAUGAUUAGUUCAUCGUUCCUGAUUCAGCCUAUUAUGAAUAAACAUGUUUGCAAUGACAACUAGAGAUCAUAGUUUCUUGUGCCAUGCUUGAUUAGCUAGGAGCUUAUAAUGGUUUACCUUGCGUGCCAACAUGCUAUUAAAAUGGUUGUGAUGUGGUAUGAUAGGGUGGUAUCCUCCUCUGAACGAUUCGAGUGGCUUGACUUGGCACAUAUUCACGCAUGUAGUUGAAACAAAAUCAACAUAGCCUCUACGAUAUUUAUGUUCAUGGUGAAUUAUAUCCUACUCAUGCUUGCAUUCGGUGCUGAUUAAUUUUAAUGCAUGUUUAUGACUGUUGUCGCUCUCUAGCUGGUCGCUUCCCAGUCUUUUGCUAGCCUUCACCUAUACUAAGCGGGAAUACUACUUGUGCAUCCAAUCCCAUAAACCCCAAAGUUAUUCCAUAUGAGUCCACCAUACCUACCUAUUUACGGUAUCUACCUGCCGUUGCAAGUAAAUUUGUAUGUGCCAAACUCUAAACCUUCAAAUAAAUAUCAUGUUUUGUAUGCUCGAAUAGCUCAUGUAUCAACUAGGUUUGUCUGUAUCUUUCAUGUUAGGCGGGUUAUUCUCAAGAGGAGUGGACUCCGCUCCUCACUCGCGAGAAAAUGGCUGGUCACCCGGAUGCCUAGUCCCAUGCUUUAUGCAAAUCAAAUCAAAAUAAUUGCAAACAAAAUUGCCCCUGGGACUCUUGUUAGUUGGAGGCACUCGUUGUUUCGAGCAAGCCAUGGAUUGAUGCUUGUUGGUGGAGGGGGGGUAUAAAAUUUUCCAUUCUGUUUGGGAACCGCCUAUAAUGUGUGUAGCAUGGAAGAUAUCACCAUCUCUUGGUUGUUAUGUUGACAAUGAAAGUAUACCGCUCAAAAUAUUAUUUACCUCUAUUUCAAAAUCGAGCUCUGGCACCUCUACAAAUCCCUGCUUCCCUCUGCGAAGGGCCUAUCUAUUUACUUUUAUGUUGAGUCAUCAUCCUCUUAUUAAAAUGCACCAGUUGGAGAGCACCGUUGUCAUUUGCAUUCAUUACUAUUAUUUUACAUUGAAUAUGACUUGACUGGAUCUCUUUUACCAUGAAUUACAAUGUCUAGUCAGUCCUUGAUCUUUAAAGGUGCUCUACAUUUAUGUUUUGCGGUCUCAGAAAGGGCUAGCGAGAUACCAUCUUGUUAUAUCAUAUCAUGAUUGUUUUGAGAAAGUGUUGUCAUCCGAGAUUUAUUGUUAUUGCUCGCUAGUUGAUUAUGCCAUUGAUAUGAGUAAACAUGAUACAUAAAUGUUAUUGGAAUAUGGUUAGUUCAUAAUCUUUGCUGAAAACUUGAAUGCUGGCUCUACAUAUUUACAACAACAAGAGCAAACAGAGUUUGUAAAAGUUUUUCUUUAUCACUUUCAGUUUAUCAACUGAAUUGCUUGAGGACAAGCAAAGGUUUAAGCUUGAGGGAGUUGAUACGUCUCCGUCGUAUCUACUUUUCCAAACACUUUUGCCCUUGUUUUGGACUCUAACUUGCAUGAUUUGAAUGGAACUAACCCGGACUGACGUUGUUUUCAGCAGAAUUGCCAUGGUGUUAUUUUUGUGCAGAAAUAAAAGUUCUCGGAAUGACCUAAAAAUCAAAGGAGAAUUAUUUUGAAAUAUAUAAAAAAUAUUGGAAGGAAGAUCCACGUCAGGGGGGCCUCCACCUGUCCACGAGGGUGGAGAGCGUGCCCUACCCCCCUGGUGCUACCUCUUGAGCACUGCGUUGGUUUUCCCUUGAAGAGGAAAGGGUGAUGCAGUAAAGUAGUGUAAGUAUUUCCCUCAGUUUUUGAGAACCAAGGUAUCAAUCAAGUAGGAGAUCACGCUCGAGUCCCGCGCACCUACACAAACAAAUAAGAACCUCGCAACCAAUGCAAUAAAGGGGUUGUCAAUCCCUUCACGGUCACUUACGAGAGUGAGAUGUGAUAGAUAGGAUAAGAUAAUAUUUUUGGUAUUUUUAUGAUAAAGAGAAAUAAAGAUGCAAAGUAAAAUAAACAGCAAUAGAAAUAACUAAGUAUCACCUGGGCGCACCCCCCUGCCUCGUGGACCCCCUGACGCUCCACCGACCUCAACCCUGACUCCAUAUAUUCACUUUCGGGGAGAAAAAAACCAGAGAGAAAGAUUCAUCAUGUUUUACGAUAUGGAGCCGCCGCCAAGCCCUAAACUCUCUCGGGAGGGCUGAUCUGGAGUCUGUUCGGGGCUCCGGAGAGGGGAAUCCGUCGCCAUCGUCAUCAUCAACCUUCCUCCAUCACCAAUUUCAUGAUGCUCACCGCCGUGCGUGAGUAAUUCCAUCGUAGGCUUGCUGGACGGUGAUGGGUUGGAUGAGAUUUAUCAUGUAAUCAAGUUAGUUUUGUUAGGGUUUGAUCCCUAGUAUCCACUAUGUUCUGAGAUUGAUGUUGCUAUGACUUUGCUAUGCUUAAUGCUUGUCACUAGGGCCCGAGUGCCAUGAUUUCAGAUCUGAACCUAUUAUGUUUUCAUCAAUAUAUGAGUGUUCUUGAUCCUAUCUUGCAAGUCUAUAGUCACCUACUAUGUGUUAUGAUCCGGCAACCCCGAAGUGACAAUAAUCGGGACCACUCCUGGUGAUGAUCGUAGUUUGAGGAGUUCAUGUAUUCACUAUGUGUUAAUGCUUUGGUCUGGUACUCUAUUAAAAGGAGGCCUUAAUAUCCCUUAGUUUCCGCUAGGACCCUGCUGCCACGGGAGGGUAGGACAAAAGAUGUCAUGCAAGUUCUUUUCCAUAAGCACGUAUGACUAUAUUCGGAAUACAUGCCUACAUUACAUUGAUGAAUUGGAGCUAUUUCUGUGUCACCCUAGAUUAUGACUGUUACAUGAUGAACCGCAUCCGACAUAAUUCUCUAUCACCAAUCCAUUGCCUACGAGCUUUCCAUAUAUUGUUCUUUGCUUAUUUACUUUUCCGUUGCUAUUGCUAUCAUCACUAUAAAACAACAAAAACAUUACUUUUGCUAUCGUUACCUUUUGCUACCGUUACCACUACUAUCAUAUUACUUUGCUACUAAACACUUUGCUGGAGAUAUUAAGUUUCCUGGUGUGGUUGAAUUGACAACUCAGCUGCUAAUACUUGAGAGUAUUCUUUGGCUCCCCUUGUGUCGAAUCAAUAAAUUUGGGUUCAAUACUCUACCCUCGAAAACUGUUGCGAUCCCCUAUACUUGUGGGUUAUCAUUGCUCCUGCAGCGGGUCUUGCACCUAGCGGUGCUUCUAGGACGUAAUUCUUCUGUGUAGCAAUGAGGAUAAUUCUCAAGUUAUGGACCCAGUCCGUGUAGUUGCUACCAUCAUCUUUCAACUUAGCUUUCUCUACGAACGCAUUAAAAUUCAAAGGAACAGUAGCAGGGGCCAUUGAUCUACAAUAACAUAGACAUGCAAAAUACUAUUAGGUGCUAAGUUCAUGAUAAAUUAAAGUUCAAUUAAUCAUAUUACUUAAGAACUCCCACUUAGAUAGACAUCCCUCUAGUCAUCCAAAUGAUCACGUGAUCCAUAUCAACUAAACCAUGUCUGAUCAUCACGUGAGAUGGAGUAGUUUCAAUGGUGAACAUCACUAUGUUGAUCAUAUCUACUAUAUGAUUCACGCUCGACCUUUCGGUCUCAGUGUUCCGAGGCCAUAUCUGCAUAUGCUAGGCUCGUCAAGUUUAACCCGAGUAUUCUGCGUGUGCAAAACUGGCUUGCACCCGUUGUAUGUGAACGUAGAGCUUAUCACACCCGGUUAUCACGUGGUGUCUCGGCACGAUGAACUAUAGCAAUGGUGCAUACUCAGAGAGAACACUUGUACCUUGAAAUUUAGUGAGAGAUCAUCUUAUAAUGCUACCGCCGUACUAAGCAAAAUAAGAUGCAUAAAGGAUAAACAUCACAUGCAAUCAAAAUAAGUGAUAUGAUAUGGCCAUCAUCAUCUUGUGCCUUUGAUCUCCAUCUCCAAAGAACCGUUAUGAUCACCAUCAUCACCGGCUUGACACCUUGAUCUCCAUCGUAGCAUCGUUGUCAUCUCGCCAACUAUUGCUUCUACGACUACCGCUACCGCUUAGUGAUAAAGUAAAGCAAAAACAAGUGUGAUGUCCUCUACUUUGUUGUUGCAAGUUUUACGUGGCUGCUACGGGCUUCUAGCAAGAACCGUUCUUAUCUACGCCUCAAAACCACAACAAUUUUUCGUCAAGUGUGUUGUUUUAACCUUCAACAAGGAUCGGGCGUAGUCAAACUCGAUUCAACUAAAGUUGGAGAAAUAGACACCCACUAGCCACCCGUGUGUGAAGCACCUCGGUAGAACCAGUCUCAUGAACGCGGUCAUGUAAUGUCGGUCUGAGCCACUUCAUCCAACAAUACCGCCAAAUCAAAGUAAGACGUUGCUGGUAAGAAGUAUGACUAUUAUCGUCCACAACUCAUUGUGUUCUACUCAUGCAUAUAACAUCUACGCAUAGACCUGGCCCGGAUGUCACUGUUGGGAAACGUAUUAUUUCAAAAAAAAAUCCUACAAUCACGCAAGAUAUAUCUAGGAGAAGCAUAGCAAUGAGCGGGGAGAGUGUGUCCACGUACCCUCGUAGACCGAAAGCGGAAGCAUUUAGUAACACGGUUGAUGUAGUCGAACGUCUUUGCGAUCCAACCAAUCCAAACACCUAACGUACGGCACCUCCGCAUUCAGCACACGUUCAGCUCGAUGACAUCCCUCGAGCUCUUGAUCUAGUUGAGGCCGAGGGAUAGUUCCGUCAUCGCGAUGGCGUGGCGACGGUGAUGAUGAAGUUACCGGCGCAGGGCUUCGCCUAAGCACUACGACGAUAUGACCGAGGUGUGUAACUGUGGAGGGGGGCACCGCACACGGCUAAGAGAAACUUGUGUCUUUGGGGUGCCCCCUCCCACGUAUAUAAAUGGAGGGAGGAGGCCGGCCCAAGGGGGGGCGCCACAUGUGGGGAGUCCUACUAGGACUCCCUUGUCCUAGUAGGAUUCCCCUCUCCUUUCCUUUUACGGAGGGGGAAAGGGGGGAAGGAGAGGAGGGGAAGAGGGAAAGGGGGGCACGCCCCCUCCCCUUCCUAUUCGGACUCCACUUGGGGGGGACGCGCACGCCUCCCCCUUGUGGGUUGUCCCCUCUUCUCUCCCAUGGCCCAUAAGGCCCAUGAUUUCCCCCAGGGGGUUCCCGUAACCUCCCGGUACUCCGAAAAAAUUCCCGAAUCACUCGGAAUCAUUCCGAUGUUCAAAUGCAACCUUACAAUAUAUGAAUCUUUACCUCUCAACCAUUUUCGUGAUCUCAUCUGGGACUCCGAACAAACUUCAGUCAUCAAAUCACAUAACUCAUAAUACAAAUUGGCAUCGAACGUUAAGUGUGUGGACCCUACGGGUUUGAGAACUAUGUAGACAUGACCGAGACACAUCUCCGGUCAAUAACCAAUAGCGGAACCUAGAUGCUCAUAUUGGCUCCUACAUAUCUACGAAGAUCUUUAUCGGUCAAACCGCAUAACAACAUACGUUGUUCCCUUUGUCAUAUGUAUGUUAUUUGCCCGAGAUUCGCUCGUCGGUAUCCUCAUACCUAGUUCUAUCUCGUUACCGGCAAGUCUCUUUACUUGUUCCAUAAUGCAUCAUCUGGUAACUAACUCAUUAGUCACAUUGCUUGCAAGGCUUAUAGUGAUGUGCAUUACCGAGAGGGCCCAUAUAUACCUCUCUGAUACACGGAGUGACAAAUCCUAAUCUCGAUCUAUGCCAACUCAAGAAACACCAUCGGAGACACCUGUAGAGCAUCUUUAUAAUCACCCAGUUACGUUGUGAUGUUUGAUAGCACACUAAGUGUUCCUCCGGUAUUCGGGAAUUGCAUAAUCUCAUAGUCAUAGGAACAUGUAUAAGUCAUGAAGAAAGCAAUAGCAAUAAAAUUAAACGAUCAUUGUGCUAAGAUAACGGAUGGGUCUUGUCCAUCACAUCAUUCUCUAAUGAUGUGAUCCCGUUCAUCAAAUUACAACACAUGUCUAUGGUUAGGAAACUUAACCAUCUUUGAUUAACGAGCUAGUCUAGUAGAGGCAUACUAGGGACACUCUGUUUGUCUAUGUAUUCACACAUGUACUAAGUUUCCGGUUAAUACAAUUUUAGCAUGAAUAAUAAAGAUUUAUCAUGAUAUAAGGAAAUAUAAAUAACAACUUUAUUAUUGCCUCUAGGGCAUAUUUCCUUCAGGAAGAGCAUUGCGGGUGGGAGGGAGAAGGGGAAUUAAGAGAGUGUAGGUUUCGGUUUGGGCCUCCGCGCGCUAUGUGUACACAUGUGUUGGUGGGUCAAUAGUAGUGGCGCCAGGUUUAUACCCCACACUACUACUAUGGCCUAUCCCGGGGGUACGAUAGAGACCACUUAGUAGUAGCGAGGGAUUUAUACCCCUCGGUACUACUAUCAACUUAGUACUAGUGAGGGAUUUAUACCCCUUGCUACUACUAUCAACUUAGUAGUAGUGAGGGAUUUAUACCCCUCGAUACUACUAUGGCCAGUCCCGGGGGGCACGGUGGAGACCACUUAGUAGUAGUGUGGGGUUUAUACCGCUCGCUACUACUAUCAACUUAGUAGUAGCGUGGGUUCUAUACCCCUCUCUACUAAUAAUUAGCAGCAGUGUGGCCCAUAUACCCCUUGCUACUGUUAAGCAUCUAUCUAUAAAUUAUUUUCUAGUAGUGCAUCAAUGGCGGCGAAAUCAGUCAUUCUGCUUGUUUUCCCUACUAGCUCUCUGACGUCCAGAACAAGUUUACGGUCAUAAGGUGCAAUGCCCUUGCCUUCAUGAGUGACACGAUGACACGGGAACGGGCUUCCAAGCCUAUGGUGUCGCAUCGUGUCGUGGUCUGCUAAACUUAGUGGACGGAUGCUACUCCAAUAUCGGUUGAUCCUAUACUACGGUACCAAGGAAGACACGCAACUACUAUAUAUAUUUCUUCAAGUCAGUCAACACAAGUAAACUCUGGGAGUUCAACUGGUGCAGCUAUGCAAUGCUAAUGGAGACAACACAAUUCAACUUUAGCACUUCACACAUAAGAAAAACCACGUUCAAUGGCACACACCUUAGAGUGUACCUAUGGUGGUUGAAUGGGCUAUAAGAAAUGUGAGUCCAUGUGAAGAUGCCAAACAUAAUAACACGGCUAAUUACACAUGCAGUGGCAGCAGCAACAAGUGCGUGAAUUCAACAAAUGAUCUAGGGUACACAUGCAACGGUGUCCUUGAGUAUGACAACAACCCUUAUCUUCUAGACAAAUGCAUGGUAUGCUACUAAUUUAUUUGCUACAAAUUCCAAUGAAUUGUGUCCUUUGCUUUGUACAUACCCAAUUAUAAUAUUUUAUUAUGCUAAUACAAUGUAGCCUUCAAUUUAAACCAAGGUUUGCAUCCAUUAAUUAUGUUAGGUUCAUAUGACUUCACUACAUAAAUAGGUAGAUAAUGCAUAAGACUGAGAUUGUAGCUAGGGAUGAAAAUCUAAAUACGGCAUGAAUCUAACAAUUAUGAGUAAUGUCUUUGUGACAAGAACUUUCUUUGUCUUUUAUUCCCAUGUUUGAACUAGUAUAGGUCAGGGUUACACAUUAUGGUGCACAUCACUUUAUUUGUCACCGUUACAUUGAACACCCAUUGACUAAACAACGAUAAUCCAUCCGUCUUGUAUUACAGGUCUUCAUUUCAUUGGCCACCGAUGCUUGUAAGACUACUCCCAGAUGGUUGUUGUUGUGGAUAUGGUUGUUGAGGUUGGUGUGGUUGCUGGGGGAAUGGUUGUUGGGGUUGCUGGGAAAUUGUUUGUUCUAGUUGCUGGGAUAAUUGUUGUUGGGGCUGCAAAAAUGGUUGUUGUGGUUGCAGGAUGGAUGGUUGCUGGGGUUGGGGCUGGGGAAAUGAUUGUUGUGAUUGUUGGGGUUGCUGGGAAAAUGGUUGUUGCGGUUGAAGGGGGAAUGGUUGUUGUGGUUAUAGAGGGAAAGGUUGUUGUGGUUGUUGAGGGAAUGGUUGUUGUGGUUGUUGNNNNNNNNNNNNNNNNNNNNNNNNNNNNNNNNNNNNNNNNNNNNNNNNNNNNNNNNNNNNNNNNNNNNNNNNNNNNNNNNNNNNNNNNNNNNNNNNNNNNNNNNNNNNNNNNNNNNNNNNNNNNNNNNNNNNNNNNNNNNNNNNNNNNNNNNNNNNNNNNNNNNNNNNNNNNNNNNNNNNNNNNNNNNNNNNNNNNNNNNNNNNNNNNNNNNNNNNNNNNNNNNNNNNNNNNNNNNNNNNNNNNNNNNNNNNNNNNNNNNNNNNNNNNNNNNNNNNNNNNNNNNNNNNNNNNNNNNNNNNNNNNNNNNNNNNNNNNNNNNNNNNNNNNNNNNNNNNNNNNNNNNNNNNNNNNNGAAUGGUUGGUGGGGAAUUAUUUGUUCUGGUUGCUGGGGAAUUAUUUGUUCUGGUUGCUGGGGGAAUGGUAGUUGGGGUUGGGGAAAUGGUUGUUGGGGUUGCUGGGGGAAUGGCUGUUGUGGUUGCAGAGGGAACGAUUGUUGGGUCUGGGGAAAUGGUUGUUGUGGUUGCCAGGAAAAUGGUUGUUGGGGCUGUGGAAAAGGUUGUUGUGGUUGUUGGGGUUGCUGGGGGAAUGGUUGUUGUGGUUGUAAGGGGGUCGGUUGUUGGGGUUGGGGAUAUAAUUGUUGUGAUUGCUGGAGAAAUUGUUGUUGGGGUGUGGAAAAUGGUUGUUGUGAUGGAUAUGGUUGCUAUGAUGGAUAUGGUUGUUGUGGAUAUGGCUGUUGUGGAAAUGGUUGUUGUUGAUGGGAAAAUGAUUGUUGAGGUGAUUGUAACUCUUUGUUGCUAGGGUUUAGCUGCCUAGCGGCAAUGGCGGUGUUCAUCGCCAUGGCAAGGAGGACAAAGAUGAGGAAGGUCUUCAUGUUGGAUUUGUGGUUACUACUGCUUGCUUGCCUUUGAUGCUUGUGGUCUAGGUGUGUGAAGUUUGGUUGAUGGAAGGUGUCCUUGGUGGUGCAUGUGUAUUUAUAGUUUUCAUGGCAUGGCUUGCUUUCAUCUUUGCACUCGCUCUUUGAAAAAGUGCAUCAAUGCUUAUCCAACUAAUCAUUUGGUUUGUUGUGUUUGGUGCAACUACUUACU
rnacentral:lncRNA from 1 species